AGAUCACCCAUGACAUUUUCAACGUACUGUGAAGUUGAAGACCGAAAGAUAAACACAAAGCAUGAAAGCAUGGACAUGAGAAACUUGGAAUAGCAGAAAUGGAAAGCAGCAUGUGCCUUAGCAGUGCAAUUUUGUCUCUGUGUUUGUCAUGUAUGUGGUUGGGAGUGGUGCCUUCCAUUUCUAGUGCACAGACAGACACCAUCAAACCUGGGGAAGAGCUUCAAUUCUCGGAAAAAUUACUGGUUUCUGCAAAAGGGACUUUUACUCUAGGCUUCUUCAGCCUGGAAUCUGGCAGUUAUUUAGGAAUAUGGUACACAACUGAUGAUUAUCACAAGAAAGUUUGGGUUGCUAACAGAGACAAGGCUAUAUCCGGCACCGAUGCAAAUCUCACGCUGGAUGCCGAUGGCAAAUUGAUGAUCACGCAUAGUGGGGGUGAUCCAAUUGUCCUGAAUUCCAAUCAAGCAGCCAGAAACUCAACAGCUACUCUGCUUGAUUCUGGAAAUUUUGUUUUGAAAGAGUUCAAUUCGGAUGGAUCUGUGAAGGAGAAACUAUGGGAGAGUUUCGAUAAUCCUACAGACACCCUCCUGCCUGGGAUGAAACUAGGCAUCAACUUGAAAACCGGACGAAACUGGUCACUUGCUUCAUGGAUAAGCGAACAAGUGCCUGCUCCUGGGACUUUUACUCUGGAAUGGAAUGGCACACAAUUGGUGAUGAAACGCCGAGGGGGCACCUACUGGAGCAGUGGAACCUUGAAAGAUAGGAGCUUUGAGUUCAUUACUUGGUUGAUGAGCCCUGACACUUUCAAUAACAUCUACAGUUUUAACAGUGUUUCGAAUGCAAACGAGAUUUACUUUAGCUAUUCAGUUCCAGACGGAGUUGUUUCAGAGUGGGUAUUGACCUCGGAAGGGGGACUUUUUGACACUAGUAGACCUGUAUUUGUGCUGGACGAUCUGUGCGACAGGUAUGAAGAAUAUCCAGGGUGUGCAGUGCAAAACCCACCCACUUGUAGGACUAGAAAAGACGGAUUCAUGAAGCAAUCGGUUCUCAUAUCAGGAUCACCAUCAUCAAUAAAAGAAAAUUCGAGCUUGGGCCUUAGUGAUUGUCAGGCUAUAUGCUGGAAUAAUUGUUCUUGUACUGCUUAUAAUAGUAUAUACACUAACGGAACUGGAUGUCGGUUUUGGAGUACAAAAUUUGCACAAGCCCUCAAGGAUGACGCAAAUCAGGAGGAGCUCUAUGUUUUAUCCUCAUCACGAGUUACGGGUAAGAGUCUCUCUGUAUUUUUGCAUUCCUGAAAGUAACCAAAGCAAAAGUAGUUGAUGAAUCCAACAUUUUUAUUGAAUUUACAACCCUAAUAGGUGAUCAAAAAUUCAAAAUACCAUUAGAGGAGCUAUAUCAAGACCAUAAAAGACCCUCUUUCACUCAGUUCUGCUCUAACCACAAAAUUUAUCAACUUCUAUCUAUGCAGGGAGCAGUUGGUGGAUAUGGGUCAUUAUUGCAGGAGUGGUACUUUUGGUCUUGUUACUUACGGGCUCCUUAUACUAUUCAAGGAGAAAAUUCAGAGGUAGUAUUUUAUUGUAACUUUUGUUGAUGAUAGUGAUGCCAUUGUUAAUGGGUUGGAUUGAACUUGUGACUUGUGGUAUAACAGGGGAAAGAGAAAUGGAGGAAGCUGCGCUGCUUGAAUUGGCAACUUCAGACAGCUUUGGUGAUUCAAAAGAUGAUGAACAUGAUGGAAAGAGGGGGGCUCAUGAUCUUAAACUGUUCAGUUUUGAUUCUAUUGUGGCUGCCACAAAUAACUUUUCACCUGAAAAUAAACUUGGAGAGGGUGGUUUUGGCCCGGUUUAUAAGGUAAAUAUUAUUAUUUCAUUAAUCCAUGGCAUGUAAUAGGAAUAGGACAUUCUUUGUUUUAAGUACCCCAAUUAAAGCUUCCUUGUGGAUUGUGGAUUAUUUUUGCAGGGGAAAUUACUUGAGGGGCAAGAAAUAGCAGUGAAGAGACUUUCAAGGGGCUCCAGCCAAGGAUUGGUGGAGUUCAAAAAUGAGAUUAGACUGAUUGUCAAACUCCAACACAUGAAUCUUGUUAGACUUUUGGGUUGCUGCAUCAAGGGAGAAGAAAAGAUGUUAAUCUAUGAGUUCAUGCCCAACAAAAGCUUGGACUUCUUCCUCUUUGGUUUGAAUACUUCCCUUUUUUUCUUCCUUUUAUCUGCAUAACUUUUCCUUAUGUUCUUUUUUUUUGCUUGAAACGAUUCACUAGCUGUGCGUUGUGUUUGCCCAAAUUUUCAGAUCCUGCUAGAAGAAAGAUAUUGGACUGGAAAAGACGUCACAAUAUCAUAGAGGGUAUUGCACAAGGACUUCUUUACUUGCAUAAAUAUUCAAGACUAAGAAUUAUUCAUAGAGAUCUAAAAGCAAGUAACAUCCUACUUGAUCAUGACUUGAACCCCAAAAUUUCUGAUUUUGGCAUGGCCAGAACUUUUGGGCGAAAUGCAUCGGAAGCAAAUACAAAUAGGAUUGUUGGAACAUAGUAAGCAUGACUUUUCUUUAUCUAUCAGCUUUCUUUUUCAGUCUAAUGUACUGAACCUUCAACUGUGGAUGCAGUGGUUACAUGCCACCCGAGUAUGCCAUGGAAGGAAUUUUCUCGGUGAAAUCAGAUGUUUAUAGCUUUGGGGUCCUACUGUUGGAGAUUGUGAGCGGCCGGAAGAACAAAAGCUUUCAUCAUAACCACGGUGCCUUUGCCAUAAACCUGGCAGUAUACGUAAGUCUGCUAUAUCUCAUAUUUGUCUCUACAUUAUUUUCAACAGCACCCGGUGUAUCCUUCCAAAAUUUUCAUACUAACCUAGUAAGUAAAUCAACCCUAAAAUGAACUGGAAACAGGCUUGGGAUCUAUGGAAAGAAGGUACUAGCUUGGAGCUAGUGGAUCCAAUGCUGGAGGAUUCCUACUCAACAACCCAAAUGUUGAGAUGCAUUCAUAUUGCUCUCUUGUGCGUACAGGAGAGAGCAGCAGAUAGGCCUACAAUGUCAGCUGUUAUCUCCAUGCUCACCAACGAAACUGUACCCCUACCAAACCCAAAUCUACCCGCAUUUUCCACCCAUCAUAAAGUGUCAGAGACAGAUUCACACAAAGGCGGGCCAGAGAGCUGUUCUGGAAGUGUAACUAUUUCAGAGACGGAAGGUCGGUAAAGAAGAGAAUUUCAGGGGGUGACAGGGAACCUAGAGAACAGCCGUUUUUGUCCUAACCUAUCAGCAAUUUGUCUAGAUUGAUUUGUAUUGCCACCAUAUAUUUAUUAGAUAUAGAGUCAACUAGGUUUCCCUCAAGGUAAUCUUUUUCAAAGCACAACAGAAGCUGAUUUGGUACCAUUUGAAACAUAGUUUUAACCUAUAGCCUGUGGCCCUAUUUGCCUUUUUUUUUUUUUUUCCGGGAAAUUUAUCUAACCAUACACCACAUACCAAAAUUUUGCCUUUUAGAAACUUUGUUUUUUACUUUUGAAAUUUAGUGGAUUUUGGGGGAAAUAAAUGUCUUUCCAUACACUGUAAUAACAAUGUUGAGACCCUUCCAAAAAUGCCCUCAUGCACUUUGACAGCUCUCCUAGUUGGAUCACCCACUUGGAAAAUUCACGUAAGCAAGGUCCAAGUUAGCUACCUACAACAGUUGAUGACAAGGUUCAUGUACAUGUCAUCAUCCAACUAGACAGUUCACAUGGAUUGAUUUUUUAAAACAUAUUUACCCCCAAAUGUCUUCUUCUCUCUUCAACCAACCCUAACACCAAAAACACAUGUUUUUUCUUCUUCAUUCAUAGGCACAACCCAUCACAAGGCGAAACGAUCCAUAAAAAAAUCUGGUGGCUUCUCAAUUUGCCAUAACCAAUUAACCCCAAACAAACCUCCAAACAAGAUCCCUUAUUUUAUUUCUCCUCCAUCACCAUAAGAAAGACGACAUCAUCAUUUUCCCACCAAACAUCAAUUCGAAAACAAAAGUCCAAGUGUGAAAUGCCUAACAAAGCCUAAGUAGACAAAGAGCCCCUUUCCUUUUUCUCAUUUCAACAUCGACAAAGUCAUUUCUUCCCUUCUUGUACUUCCUCUUUUGCUUUUGCGUUGAAAAAUGAGAAAGAAAGCAAUUGAGAGAAAGAGGGAACAAAGCAAUUAAAUAUUGUAGUUGCAUUUAACUUUUAAAGUAAGGGUUUUUCCAGAUGAUAUAUGUAUUUUAUUAAAUUUUGUAAUAACUAUUUAUUUUGAUUUGUCAUUUUGAUUCUUUGAGAUUUGAAUACUGUUAUAGUUAUGUGAUUUGUGGAAUUUUGUGAUUUAAACUUAAUUACAUUGCAUAUUUGUACAUGUUGAAUGUUCAUUAAUAUUGUAUUCAAUUUUAUAUUUUAAUUUAUUUAGGGUUUAUUUGAAAUGAAAUAUGGUUUAAAAUUUGAUAAAUGAUAGGAAAAUGAGAUGGUGGUAAGUUAUAUUGAUUUUGUUUUAUUUUCUGAAUUGUUGUGUUUGUGUUGUACAUGGUUGUUGGGAAGAAUAUAGAAAAGAGAAGAAAAAUAUGACUAUUGAAUGAGAAGGGAAUACAAUUUGUAUAUGGGAUUCAAGAUGUUUUGUUGUUUAAUGUUGUUUAUAUGGGAUUCCAAAAUGAGUAGGUUGAGUUUUUUUUUAUAGUUGUUAAUUGGUGAAUUUAAUGCAUAGGAAAAGAAUUCAUGUUUAGUCAUAAGUAAAUGAGUAUAAAUUUUAAAAAUGAUUGGGAGUAAAGUUUGAAUAAAUUUCUUCAUAAAAGUUUUGAAUUUGUAAUGAAUGAGGGUUGAAUUGAAAAAGAAAAUAAAACAAAUGUAGUAAAGCAGACAUGAAUUUAUGUUGGAAUUAGGAAAAAUAGUAGUGGAGCCUUAGGUGGAAAUUUGAUGCUCACUGUCACAAAUAUGAAAUUUGUUUUGUUUAUAUGUGUGUAAUGGUCAUAGUAAGUGUCUACCCUUGGAUGAAAGGGUUGACCGUAAUUGAGGUAAUGACAUUUGGAUGGAAUAAUUGUUUUUGUAAGAGGUUGCAGUAAGUAAUUAGUGGUUGACCCAUUUGUUUGGAGGUAGGCCCUUAAUUGUAAACAUUGUUGUGGUCUAAUAUAGGCAAUAAGCAAAAUAAAGGAAGACCCAUUGUUUCAGGGGUUGCCCCGAAAACAGGGCCAUUAGCAUAAUUUAGCUUGAAAAAUUACAAAAACAAUGGUUGGCCCAUGAAUUGAGAGAUUCACUUCCCAACUUAUAUAACAUAACAAAUUACUGCCAAAUGAAAUAGAAUAAUUGCAUUGUUUAAUGUUAAGUAUACGCUAUGCAUGUUCAUAUUUACAACAUUAAUUGAAGACCAUGAAAUGUAAAUGAAGCUCACUUGUAAAGUUCCAAAGAUAAACGAUGUAUUAGUAAUUUGGUCAUAAGUGUGAUAAUCAGUUUUGUUAUAAGUAAUUUGGUUUAAGCAGUGUUAUUAAAAAAUUAGUUAAUUGUUUCAGCUUGACUAAAGGUUCAUGUUUCUAACACAUGAUCGAGUAUCAUUUAAAUGGAUCCAAGUAAUACAAUUUAUUAUUAUCUGCACAUUGAAAGAGAGCUAGUAAGGGGUGAACAUGGCAGUAUGGAAUAUAUGGGUGGGAGACGAGAGAGUAUAAGUUUAGAAUGAUCAAUGACAUAUAAUGAUUUUGUUUCAAGGAUUUGUGGGAAAAUGAGCAUUGAUAUAGUGGGACCAACAUUUUCAUACACUCUUCCAUUUGAUCUAUAUGCACUUCAACCAUUGAAAAAUGAUGAAGACUUGACAAACAUGUUUCAAUUUAGUGACUAAUUCACACGUGUAUAUAUAUGUUUAGCAUCAAUAGUUAAAGGCGAUGAAACGGUUGACAAUGAAGGACAAAGGUAAGUUUAUCAAAAGAAUAUCUAAUCUUAAAUGAUUUCGUGUAUUUAUUUAUUUAUUAAUAUUUAUGUUUAUUCAUUAGAUGAUAAGUUGAUAAAUAAAUAUAUUUAUAAUGCAAAUUGAACGAAACAAUGGUAAGGUCAAACUCACUGGUCCCAUAUUCAACAUGGGAUGUUGAUAUUAAUUAGAAUGCAAUCACGAGGAUUUUAUCAAAGAUGUGUUGAAUCACAUGUUGGUCCACUAGAGUCGAGUUAUUUUGAGAGUGCAAUAUUGGGUAGUGGGCAUACCUUUUCAACUGCAAAUGACUUUUGAGAUGCAAUAUAUCUCAUGUCAAUAGGAAACCAUUUUAGAUAUAAGUUUAGGAGGAAUUGCCUUAAGCAUAUGACUGUAAUAUGUGUUAUUGAAGGAUGCCCUUGGAAAGUAACUACUUGUGUUGUUGGGAGAACAAAAAUAGUUCAGGUGCAUACAUUUAUAAAUGAACUUAACCAUUCUUUAGAAGAUGUGUCAGUUUCUAAACCAAUAGUUCGUUGUAAUCGAGCCACAACUAUGAUUGAUAAUGUUAUUCAUUCAAAUCCAAAUUACUUGUCUCGUCAAAUAUGUAAAGACUUUCAUCGACAAUACAAAAUGCAAUUGAAUUAUUGUCAAGCAUGGAACUUGAAAGAGAAGGCUAAAGAACAAAAUCAUGGUGUGCCCCAAUGUUCAUAUAAGUUGUUGCCUUGGUUGUGUACAAGGCUUAUUGAAACAAAUCCAGGGACGAUUGCUGAAUAUAAAUGUUCGGAUGAUGGUCAUUUCAUGCAAUUGUUUGUUGCCCUUUCAGUGUCAUUACAUGGGUUUAAAAUGGGGUGUCGGCCUAUUAUAUCAACAGAUUCAUCCCACAUGAGUGAGUCAUACAAGGGUGCUUUAUUUUUAGCUUCUUCGUAUGAUGCUAACAAUGUCAUGUUUCCACUUGCUUAUUGCUUAUUUAGCUUCGAGAAUUACGAGGAUUGGCUUUGGUUCUUAGAGAAAUUGAAGAUGGUCAUAGGUGAAACAAAGGUUAUAAUAAUAUCUAAUAGGCACGAAGGAAUUAUCCGUAGUGUUUUAGAUGUAUUCAGCAGUGAAAAUCAUGCACAUUGCUAUCAUCACAUUAAAGAAAACUUUAGUAGCUUACUAACAAAGUUGAACACUAAAUGGAGGAAAAUAAAGGAAAAUGCUUUGCAAAUGCUCGAUUCUAUCACCUAUGCUAGGUUAGAUUGUGAUUAUGAGGUUACAAUGGAUACUUUAAGGACAUUUAAUCAUGAUUUGGCAAAGUGGGUUGAAAAAAAUAACCCUCAACAUUGGGCAAUCUCUAAAUUUAAGAUGCGUUGGGAUAAGAUGACAAAUAAUCUAGCUAAGUCUUUCAAUUCUUGGUUAAGACAUGAAUGACACCAUAACAUUUGUGUUUUCUUCAUUGAGCAUAUGGAUAAGUUAGGAUCUCUUUUAGUCGAGCACAAAAAUGGACUUGCAAAAUGGAAUGGGUGCAUUAGUCCUAAAAUAGAAGAAAAUAUUGCAUUGAACAUUGCAAAAGGUGAAAAUUAUAUCACUUAUUUACACUUGGGUAGUUCGAUGAAAGUAUCCAAUGGAAAAGUAUUCUUGGAAAUGGACUUAAUGAAGUGAACUUGCACAUACAAAGCAUGGCAAAUGUCUGGAAUCCCAUGUGAUCAUGCUUGUGUAACAAUAUGAAGAAUGGGGUUCGAUGUAUCUGAUUAUGUUGAUGACUGGUAUAAGUACAAUUUGCAAGAGAAUAUAUACUCUGGAAGCAUGUGUACUUUGGUAACGCAUGACAUGCCAAUGAUUGAUGAAGAUGGAACCGUUCGUGAUGCCUUGGGUCAUACUUAUCCUUUUCUUAAUCUUUCAACCACAAAGCAACCUCCUGGAAGACCUAAGAAACAUCAAAUUAAGUCUCAAUUCAUGUAAAAAAAAAAAAAAACGGUUCAUUGUUCUUGUUGUAAUGAGCCUAGGCAUAAUUGUGCUACAUGCAACAACCCAUUGUCGUAACUAUUUAAUUAAACUUCAUAAUGUAACAUCGACUUUAUAUUAGUAUGUAAUAAUUUGGUAAUCUUCAUCGUUGUUUCCCUGAUUAUAAGCAAUGACUAAUUUAUUGGAUUUGUAGUGUUUGGUGUACACAUAUUGUGAUUAUAUGUUGUUCUUCAAUAUUAUGGGAUAUGUUACAUGAUAAUAAAAUUGCAAUAACAAAAUGUGUACCUUGGUGAUGAUUGUUCAAAGAUGUCAUUAAAGUCACAUAAAUUCACAUGGAAAAACAAAUUGUUAACUAGUGGGCAUAAUCGUGGAUGACCUUUACAUGUAUGGGUUGUCAUUUUUUGGCUGAUGACCCUUAAUCAUAUUAUUUAGUUUUGUGGGAAGUGGUCAGUAACCAAAAUAAGGGCCAACCUAUUAGGUCAUAAGCAGUCCUAUCGUUUUUCUUAUUUAAAAUUGGUUUUGUGUUAUGUGAGGAGUCGGUAAAAGGGAGGUUGACCCAUUGACACCAUGGGAAGGCAUUCGAACGUUUACACUAUACAGUUAGAAUUAAUGGAAUUUCUUUUAUACAAUAACAUUAGUUUGGUAUGUUAUGUGUAGAAGUUGAUCUAAGGGCGCACCCUCCAUUUCAAAGGCAUGCCUAUGUGUGAAUGACAUUAUAUUACCAUGUUAUAUGCAGAAGGCAAAGUAGGGGCACACCCUUCGUUGCAUAGGCAUGGGCAUGGGUAUGAUAACAUUAUUUUGGUAUGUUAUGUGUUGUACACAAACUAGGAGUACACCAUUGAUUUUAGAGGCAUGCCUAUUGGUGAAACCAUUAUAUUGGUAGGCUAUGUCCAGUAGUCAACCUAAGGGCACAACCUUCAUGGAAGAUGCAUGAAUGUGGGUGAAAAACUUGAUUUUUUUAAGCUAUGUGCAAUAGGAAAAAUAUAGGCAUGACUCUAUCGGAGGCAUUCCUUCAAGAUGACUAGAUUUAAGGUGUGUGUUGGGUAGUAAGGCAAAUAGAGGCAUGUCGAUAGUUUGAAAGGUUGACCCUUGACGUUCAUAUGAAAUAAGCAACCACCAAAGGAAUAAAUGAACAAAAGUUAUGCAUUAUCAAAUGUUUGGUAAAGACCAUAUGUUCUAAUGUUUAGCAUAGUAAUGUCAUACCAUCUAGUGUUAAUGAAGUUUAGUUGUAUUGUUUAUAAUCUAAGCAAGGCAUUAAUCAUAAUGACAAUAGGUGUGAAUGUGACAAUUGUUAUAGUUAAUUAAUUUUGGCAUGGUUAGUUACAAAUACUAUUGUAAGCAAUUAAAUACCUAAUGGGGUCCAAAAAAGGGAUUAAAAUAUUUUAUGCUUAUUUUAUAAAUGAUGUAAUUCUUUUUGGAAGGAAUAUAUGUAUUAUUGCACAUAUUAACGUACACACACGCACGUGCGCGCGCGCGCACACACACACACACACACACACACACACACACAUAUAUAUAGAUGUAUUAAAGUAAGAAGGCAUGAGGUCUCAGAUUGAUGUUAAAAAAAUGUACAAUACUUUAUUAAAGUUAAUAAAGAACAGAUUGAUCUUAAAGAUAUAUGAAACAUUGUGGAUGAUAUUACGAGGGUUUGAAACUCUGUUAAAUGGUGGUGAACGACUUCCCAUCAGUUCCUAUGGGUUCUCGGUAGCAUGAGGCCUUGAAAUACCAAAAUUUCUUACAAAUGUACCAAAUUUUAUAAAAUAAAAAAAAAUGUACCAAAAGUUGUAAAUGAUGUAGCAAAAUUUGUCAAGGAUGUACCAAGGGUUUAAAAGUCUGUUCAAGAGUAGCGAACGACCUUUCAUCAAUUAACACAGAUCCUUAAAUGAAAUAAUGGAUCAUAGGUGAUAAGAUGGGUGUUUCAAUGGCAAUAGGAUUAAAUGUACCAAAUUUUAUAAGGGGUCUCGACAACAAUAGGAUCGGAUGUACCAAAUUUUAUGAAGAAUGUAUCAAAUUUUGUGAAGAAUGUACCAAGGGUUCCAACGUGCAUUCAGAUAUGAGGAACAACCCCCAAGCACUUCCUUAUAGGUUCUCAAAUGAAAUUAUGGACCUUAAGUGAUAAGAUGGGGGUCCUAGAAGUAAUAUGAUGAGAUAUACCCAUAUUUUAUAAAAGAUGUACCAAAUUUUAUGAAGAAUGUAACAAGGGUUCCGAAGUGCACUCAGAGGUGGGGAUCGACCCCCAAUCACAUCUUUAUGGAUUCCCAAAUGAAAUUGUGAACCAUCUAUGUCCAAAUGGGAGUCUUGAAAGCAAUAGGAUUGGAUGUACCAAAUUUUGUGAAGCAUGUACCAGAUUUUAUGAAAGAUGUACCAAGGGUUCCAAAGUGCAUUUCGAGGUGGGGAUCGACCACCAAUCACUUCCUUAUGGGUUCCCAAAUGAAAUUAUAGACCCUAGGUGAUAAGAUGGGGGUCCUGAAAGAAAUAGGAUGAGAUGUACCAAAUUUUGUGAAGAAUGUAUCAAGGGUUCCAAAGUGCGUUUUGAGGUGGGGAUCGACCCCCAAUCACUUUCUUAUUGGUUCCAAAAUGAAAUUAUGGACCAUGAGUUAUAAAAUGGGAGUCUCGACAACAAUAGGAUCGGAUGUACCAAAUUUUGUGAAGGAUGUACCAAAUUUUCCAAAGCAUGUUUCGAGGUGGGGAUCAGCCACGAAUCACUUCCUUAUGGGUUUCCAAAUGAAAUUAUGGACCCUAGGUGAUAAGAUGGGGGUCCCGAAAGCAAUAGGAUGGGAUAUACCAAAUUUUACAAAGGAUGUACCAAUUUUUUUUUAAGGAUGUACCAUAUUUUAUGAAGGAUGUACCAAGGGUUCCAAGGUGCUUUCUUAGGUGGGGAUUGACCCCCAAUCACUUUCUUAUGGGUUUCAAAAUGAAAUUAUGGACCAUAAGUGAUAAGAUAGGGGUCCCAACAAUAAUAAGAUCGAAUGUACCUUAGAUUUUUUUAACCGUGUUUCUUAGUAACUUGAUGAAAGUUAUGUACAUUUUUUAACGUUAAUCUGAGACCUCAUGGCCUCUUACUUUAAUCUAUCUAUUCUUUUGAGAAAUUGACAUACAUCUAUUGUUUUACACACACACACACACACACACACACACAUAUUCCUUACAAAAAGAUGCACUUCAUUUAUAUAAUAAGCAUAAAUUAUUUUAAUCCCUUAUGCCGACCUCAUUAGGUAUUUAAUUGCUUACAUAAAUAUUUGUAAUUAACCCUACCAAAACUAAUUACCUAUAACAAUAGUCUUAUUCACACCUAUAACCAUCAGAUAUUAAUGCCUCAUGUAAAUUAUGAACAAUUCAACUCAACUUCAAUAACACUUGAUGUUAUGACAUUAAUGUGAUAAAUAUUAGAACAUAUGGUCUCUACCAAACAUCAGAUAAUGCAUUACUUUUAUUUAUUUAUUUAUAUGGUGGCCACUUAUUUGAUAUGAUCGUCAAGGGCCAACCUUUCUAGCUUUGGGCAUGUCUCCAUUUGUCUUACUGCCCAACCCGCAUAUCAAAUAUAAUCACUUUAAAGGCAUGCCAUAGACAUAAGAGGCAUGCUUAUCUUUUCUACUGCACAUAGCAUAACAAAUUUAAGUUUUCACCCACAUUCAUGCAUCUUGCAUGAGGAGUGCGCCCCUAGUUUGACUAUUGCACUUAGCCUACCAAUAUAAUGUCUUCACCAAUAAGCAUGCCUCUUAAAUAAAUGGUGCACCCCUAGUUUGUGUAUUGUAUAUAGCAUACCAAAAUAAUGUUAUCAUACCCAUGGCAUGCCUUUGCAACAAAGGGUGUGCCCCUAGUUUGCCUUUUGCAUAUAGCAUACCAGUAUAAUGCCUUUGCACAUAGGCAUGCCUUUGAAAUAAAGGGUGUGCCCUUAGAUUGACUUCUAAAUAUACCAUAGUAAACUAAUGUUAUUAUUAUUUUUAAAACAAAUUCCAUUGCUUCUAAGGGUACAAUGUCCACGUUCGAAUGCCUUCCUAUCAGGGAUUGAAAAAUCGGAAAAUAUCGUCGAUAUUUCGAAGAAAUAUUGAAUAUCGGUCGUCACCGAAACGAUAAUCGCCACCGAUUAUCGAUCCACGGAAAUAUCGCCAAAAAAUCGGCAAAAUCGCCGAUAUAUCGACGAAAUAUCGAUGAAGGACCGAUAAAUCGGAGAAAAAGGAUCUGACACACGGAGCAACCGGAGGUAUUUUUACCGAUUUUUCCGAAAAUUUCCCGAUAUUUCCUACUAGUCCAGCCCGCGCAGUUGUGUUUUUCAGCCUGGCUCAAAAAUCAUGGAUUUAGGGUUCGUGAAAUUUAAAUCCAAUGGCACAACAGCAAAGAGACCCCUAAAACAGAUCCAGAAAACACAAGAAGCAAAAGAAAAGCAAUUUUUUUUUGUUUUCUUUGGGGGUUUUGAAUGGAUUUUCUCGGAAAUCAAACAAGGAUGAAUUUUCCCGGAAAUCGAAUGGGGGUGGAUUUUCUUGGGAAUCAAACUGGGGUUGCAAAAAAAAAUAAUAAUAACAUGAUUAGAUUAGUACCUGCGAGGAUUGAGAUUUGAGAGUAGCAGAGGAAAAUAGGGCUUUUUUUUAGGGUUUCUCUCGUUGGAGGACAACUUCAGAAAAGGGUUCUUGAUGCCCCGUGCCCGAGAGAGAAGUGGGUGCCUUUUUUAUUUUUUUAUUUUUAGAUUUAGUGGAGAUAAAAAAAUAAAAAAUAAAAAAUAAAAAAAUCAUGAGAACAAUUUUCCACUCUCUAUAUAAAUAAUUAUUAAUUAUCAACCUUUAUUUUGAUUAUUAAAUAAAUUAAUAUUAAUAGAAAAAAUUGUUACACAUAUUUUUAAUAAAAUUUUAAAAAUUAAAUCUCAAAUAAGAUAUUUUAUAUAAAUUAAUUUAAUUUUUUAUUUAAAAUAUAAUAAAAUAUAUUUUAAUAAAAGUAUUUUAAAAUUUUUAAAAUAAAUAUUGUCUUCAACAAGAUGAACUCCCUUCAUAUAAUAAUAUAACGAAAUCACAUUGAUAUCUUCCUUAGUAUAAGGACUAUUGCAAUCUCAUAUGUAUUAUAUUUAUAUAUAAAUUGUUUUUAUUUAAUAAAAUUAAAUAUUUCUUAACUCAAUUUUAACUUUAUACACUUUCAAAAUUCAUAUAUAUUAUUUUUAAAAUUCAAAUAUCGAAUCUACCAAUAUAUCUCUGUUUACGAUAUUUUUCUUCUUAAUUAUAUAUAUAUAUAUAUAUAUCAAUUACACUUAUAAGAUAACUUUAAAAUGUGUAUUCUUACUUAUUUUAUCAUUUUUUGAAGUUUUUUAAAGCAUUCCUAUUAAUUUUAAAUAAUUUUCACUCCACCGAUAUUUAUGAAAAAAUAUCCACCGAUAUUUCCGAUAUAUCCGUAAAAUUGAAGUACCGAUAUAUUCGUAAAAACCGAUAUUUCAAUCCUUGCUUCCUAUUAAACAAUAAGUCAACCUUCCUUUUACCAACUACCCACAUAACACAAAACUAAAGGGUCGACCCUUAUUUUUGCUACUAACCACUUCAAACAAAACUAAUAAUAUGAUCAAGGGUUAUCAACCAUAAAAUAGCAACCCCGCAUGUAUAGGUUAGUCACUAUUAUGCCCACUGGUUAAUAAUCUUUUGUCUUUUAUUUUUAUUUUUUCCGAAAAGCUCUUGGGUGAAGUUUUUCACUUGAUUCCAACUAUUGUGCUAGUGUAUUUGUUUUCUAAAGAUCCCAAGUGUAGCAACCAGUGCUUCAUUGGUCACUUCUCUUAAGUUCUUCAAUUAGCUUACUCUUUUCCUUUAUAGUAGCCUUAAGUGCUUCAAGGCUAACACCCUCGAUUUCAUGGACAUAGUUUGCCUCCACCUUUGCAGUUCAUUUACUUAAAAACGUCAUAACAAUGAACCUCUUGUUGAAUCCUUCAGCAUCAGUGGUUGUGAUAAUGGACACUUGUAUAUAAAUGAAUCCAUUGUUUUGGAAGAAGGCGUGAGUUGCAUGAGUAAAGGCAUUGCGGGUUCGCAUAAUGAAUGCCACCUACAAGUUUUAAAGUAGAAAUUAAAACAAAAUGACCUAAUUAAUUUUUAGUCAAAGCAUUUAUCAUGGAUUUAGAUAAGAAGCUGCAUGGAACAAAAAGAUUAAUUAUGGUUGUUGCUUAUGGCUAUGUCAUUGACAGUUAAGAAGGUAUGCCCACUACCCAAUAUUGCACUCUCAAAAUGACUCGACUCUAGUAGACCAACAUAUGAUUCAACACAUCUUUGAUAAAAUUCUUGUGAUUGCAAUCUAAUAUCAUCAUCCUUUGUUAAAUAUGAGACUAUUAAGUUAGACCAAACAAUUGUUUUGUUCAAUUUGCAUUAUAAAUAUGUUUAUUUAUCAACUUAUCAUAUAAUGAAUGAACUUUUUUUCCUCAAUGAUUUUCAAUUCUAAAGAGCUUCCAUUUUUGUUAUAAAAAAAUUACUAAUUUAACAUUUCCUAAAAAUGAUCCAUUUCCAUAUUGAAAACAAUUUUUCGAUCAGGUUUCCCAACCCCCUAACCAAACAUAUUUUCAGUGUCAUUUCCAUUUAUUUUCUUAAACAACCAUUUGCCAAACACCCCUAUAAUUUUGGAUCCUAUAAGCCUAAAGCCCUACAAAUCAAAACCCACCAAGGUCACACUCUCCAAUACAAUUCCUCAUUUCACCAAGUGAAAAAUCAACCCAAUUCAAUACCCACCAUCUAGAUCAACCCAAUUAACACUUCAAAAACAUUAAAAAAAUCAAGCCAAACCCAAAAAAUGCUCAUUAAUCACACCACAACCCAAAAAAUCAAAUAAAACCCUCAUCAAAUCCUAUACUAACUUUGCACCAAGAAAACAAAACCACACGAAACACGAAACCCUAGUACAAGAUUAACUAAUUCAAUCAAAUUCACAUCCAACAGUUCACAAACAUGGCCAAAAACUAAAAUUCACAAGCCAAAUAAUUGCGAGUCGGACCUGAAAAUCAAGAACUGUACUUGUAACUUGACUUGUCUGAAAAUCUCAACUUUGAAGCCACCCAAAGUGCGCGAGAUAAGCAAAAUGGGUGCACAGUGAUUCAUGCCCAAUUGGUGUCUCAGCUGAUUCGUGUCCAGCUGGUGCUCCUUGAUUGAGGGAGUAAUCAACAAAAUUUAUAACCUAUUACACCAUAUACUAGGGUAGCAAAGACAAAGCUACUAUAGCAUAGUGGCUCUAGGAUCGUUCACUGGGAUGGGUUUUCACUUUGCAAAUGAUAUUAAUUCAAAGCUGAAUUGGUGCCUUUUCAUUUCAAGGUUAGCUUUAAAAGAAAACAUAAAGAUGUUUGAAUGAAAAAGGUUUGGUUUUAAACUAACCAAAAAUAGUAACUGAUUUUACUUACAAAGAAAAGUGUUUCUUGGAGUUCAGAUCACUAGGCUCAGGUUCCUCAUACAAAAAGGAGAGUUCCGAUCACUUGUUUCUUUUCCUCGCAUUAGAGAAUUAACAUAUAGUUAAUUCUCUAACCGGUGUUGUACAGAUGCUUCCCAUUAAUGGGUUCAAACACUAAAUCCCUCUCACUGAUGCACUUUGCAAUGGUUCAUGCCUCUCACUAGCACUUACGAUUCAAGGUGAUCUUUAACCUUGGAUUACCCAUCAAAAGCUCGCAAGAGAUAACUAAUGGAUGUCUCCUUGGAGUCCAAAAGCUUACCAAGUGUUGGCUAUUCUAGAAAAUCCUACCUUCAAGUCACCUCCCAAAGGCUCGCAAGAGAUAAACUAGUGAAUCUCCAUGGACGGAGAUCACUUGCCUUACCAAGUGUUGGCUCAAGUGAAUUAAAGGCGUUUUAAGUUAACUAAAAAGAUAAAAACCAUUAACGGGUCACACUUUCUCUUCAUUAAAAACUAAAACAACAAAACUUCCAAAUUAUGCAUGUGGAAACUUACCCGGCUUUCCUCACUCCAAGAGACAAAGAGCCUAGCCUCUCAUCCUCUGAGGAAAAAUCCUCAGAGUUUGUUUGGCUAGCAAGAAAACUAACGAGAAAACAAGAAUAUAUAUGAAAAACAGAGCAAGUGCUCUGUUCGUUGAUUCUAUAUAUGAUAUCUCUAUAUAUCUUUCUAUAUCUAUUACAGUGGAUGCAAGGGAAUAUAUAUAUAUAGAUGUUUUUCCAACCUUCCUAGCUAAGAAAUCUUAUGGUUGGUGGAUUACAAGGAGAAGAAUGGAAAUUUAUACAAAAAUAUCUGAAGAAAAGAUCUAAAAGAUUCGGUGCACAAAUAUCGGGAAGCAUUAAGGACCAUUUCGCAGGUGAAAACGAGGUCUGCGAGAUUUCGCAGAUGCACACAAAGGGCUACGAAAUUACUUCGCAGCAAACGGCUGACUUCGCAACGCUGCGAAGUGUUCUUUCAGCUUGUGGUGUUCAGCUUCCAACGUGAUGGGAAACUUCAAGGGGAAUUCCACAGCAUUGUGCAAAAAGGCUGCGAAAUCAUCUCUCAACAAAAGGGUGAUUUCGCAGCGCUGUGCAAAAUUCUUCCUUCAACUUGGAGUGAUCUGCUUGAAAUGGUUGUAAAUCCUUCGUUUCAACUUCGAAUCGUGCACCGUUUGAAGCAUUGGAUUGUUGACUUCAUGAGCUUUGAAAUGGUAUAUAGAAUGUAGAAAAUAGACUUCGGGAAGUGCUCCAAAAGUACGAAAGAAGACUGCAGCUGUUGUCCUCUGUUUUCUCCACUUUGUUUUUCCUCUCUCCUUUGUUCUUUCCUUGCAUACUUUGAACGACUUUGGCAAAGGGCUAUGGAGCUCCAAAGCUGGUUCUUCAUGAAUUUGAGCUUUCCAUUGCUUUGCCAUGGAUUCCAAAUAACUCUCCUCAAUCUUGGAUUGCUUUGGUGAUCAAAAAGCUAUCAAAACACCAAAACUUAACACAAUUUGAUUAGAAUUGAUUGCAAGGGUCCUUAACAUGUUAAUUGGGUUAAAAGGCAAUAACUACUACUCAAAAGUGUUUAAAAGAAUUAAUUACAAGCUAUCAAAUAGCACUUUUUGAGUAGUAAUCACAUAGGAUUUUAGAAGUAGACUCCCUUUAUGAGUUUUUUGAGUUAGGGUUUGAUUGAAGAGAGAAGAAGGCUAAAUCUCACUAUCUGUUUCGUUAUUUUUUGGGAAAUAUUUUUUUUUAAAUCAUUCCACGUGGAUUGUCUAGUUGGAUGGUGGCAUAGACAUGAGCCAUAUCAUUAGCUUAAGUGGGUAACUUACUUUGACUGUGCUCACAUGGCUUUUCCAAGUAGUUGAUCCAAUUGGAAGAGGUGUUAAAGUGUAGGAGGGCAUUUUUUAAAGGAUCUCAACAUCACUAUUACAGUGUAUGGAAAGGUAUUUAUUUUCCCUAAAAUCCACUAACCUUCAAAAGUAAAAAGUAAAAUUCCCAAAAAGCAAAUUUUUGCCCCCUAAUGUAUGGCUACAUAAAUUUCUUUUUUUUUUUUUUUUCCUCCAUAACGUAUUAUAAUAGAUUGUACAUGUUUAUCUUAGCCAUGGUAUGAUAAAAAAUAUGUUAUAUGCUACACAUAGAGAAAAACACUCCAAACGACCAAAGUAGAAAGUGGAGAUAGUUUAUGACUGAUCCUCACUCAAUUUGCACAUAACACCACUAGUUAACCAAACUUCAGCCUCCAUGCUUCAAGUAAUCCAUAGCCAAGUUCUUCUCAAGAGACAUAGGUCAUUUAUGGAGACAUAGGUCUUCAAAUCUGAUGAUGGGAAAUGUCCACCUCCUCCUAAAGUGCAAGAUUUUACCAUGGUUUUAAAAACCAAACCAGACAGGCCGGUCCAACUACCAACCAGUCACGGUUCCAAUUCGGUCUGGUCAAUUAGGUCAAAAAGUGGUCGGAUCGAAAUUGGACCGAUUAAACCAGUGGUCCGAUCGGGAAUUGUUCGGUUCAAUUUUAUUUUUCCACUGUCAUCAUUUCCCAUCGACGAGACCCCUACCCUCCUUGCAAAGCCAUUCCCACGCUGGAAAAGCUUUUAUUGCCCACUGGAACACCCCCGCCCCCUCCUCCUCGUUGGAACCCCUUUUUGUUUAUCGAAAUCCCUCCCACCCGAUACUGGAAACUCUAUCCCCCAAAACCCAUUGGAACCCUUUUUUGCCCACUCAUCUCUUCUCUUUUUCCAGAUUUUUUUAUUAGUAUUAUUUUUUACUUCAUCUCAUUAUUAUUAUUUUUCUUUUGUAUUAAUUAUUUUUUUAUUUCAUGAUGUUUAAAACUUAUGAUUUUAAUUUAAAUUAAUGAAAACAUUACAAUUUUAAAUAAAUUCCUAAUUUAAAAAUAAUUUUUUUAUUUAAAAAUGAAUUUUAAAUUUCUAAUUUGAAACUAAUUUUCUGAUUUUCAAAUAAAAUUUUAAUUUUUAAAUAAUAUAUUGUGGACACUGCAUUUCGGCUCAAUGCAUUUCCCACUCGAUGGUGAGCUCGAUUUUUUAUUUGAAAAUUUGAUUCUUAUUUGAUUAAGAAAACUGACUUGGAGUCGCCACUUAUUUUUUGUUUUAUUUUAAAAGGGUAAACAAAAUAAGAAAGAAAACCCUAAGUGUGACUCCUUGUUUUGGAAAAGGUGGUCUGUGAAAAAUCGGAGCGGGCUCGGAGGUCAGAUUGCUUAUUGGGAAGGUACGGUACAGACCGUAGCACCCCUCUAAUAGUCGGGUCUCUACUAAUAGAAUGAAACUGACGUGACAAUCAAUGAGAAAAUCAAGGGACACUCACCUAAAUCAUGCAGAAUAUGGGAAUCAAAACACACAAUAGAGAUUGACUAGAAUGGGAGUGGAUGCGUACCUCGGCCACGAGCCACAAUGCGCUAUUAAGAAACGGGAUUAGUGCACAAUUAAUGAAUACAAAAUAUAGCUCAUGCAUAUCGGAGUGUAAACGAAACUCAAGCGAAAUACAUUAAGCACGACAAUUUACAAUCAAAAGGGAUCAAACAUAGGGCCCCCACCAAAGCCCAAUUUUUCAUUCAUGAACUAGUCUCACAAAUCCCGUGUUUUAGAAUUAUGAAGAAUUCAUUAUUGCUUACGUAAAAUCAAGAAGAUCAUAAGAUUAUUCAGGAACCAAAAUGGGAUUAAAACUAUUCGACUGAAGACUGGAUUCUUGGAGUUUAUUUGAAAAUUGGAGUAUUUGGAAUUAAAUUUAAAAGAUUAGAGCUCCGGUAAUUAAAUUGAAAUUUGUUAAAUAAGAUGAGAAAUGAACUUUAGGAAAUUGAUCUACGAAAAUAUGGAUUUUGAAAGUUGAAUUUGUAAUAAUAGUAAUAAUAAGAAAUGAACUUUAAGAAAUUGGACUGCGAGAAUAUAGAUUUUAAAAGUUGAAUUAAUAAUAAUAAUAAUGAUAAGAAAUGAACUUUAAGAAAUUAAACUACGAGAAUAUAUAUUUUGAAAGUUGAAUUAAUAAUAAUAGUAAUAAUAAUAAUAAUGAUAAUAAUAGUAAUAAUAAUAAUAAUAAUAAUAAUAAUAAUGAUAAUAAUAAUAAUAAGAUUUUGAAAGUUGAAUUAAUAAUAAUAAUGAUAUUAAUAAUAAUAAUAAGAUUUUGAAAGUUGAAUUAAUAAUAAUAAUAAUAAUAAUAAUAAUAAGAUUUUGAAAGUUGAAUUAAUAAUAAUAAUGAUAAUAAGAAUAAUAAUAAUAAUAAUAAUAAUAAUAAGAUUUUGAAAGUUGAAUUAACAAUAAUAAUAAUAAUAAUAAUAAGAUUUUGAAAGUUGAAUUAAUAAUAAUAAUGAUAUUAAUAGUAAUAAUAAGAUUUUGAAAGUUGAAUCAAUAAUAAUAAUAAUAAUAAUAAUAAUAAUAAUAAGAUUUUGAAAGUUGAAUUAAUAAUAAUAAUAAUAAGAUUUUGCAAGUUAAAUUAAUAAUAAUAAUAAUAAUAAUAAUAAUGAUAAUAAUAAUAAUAAUAAUAAUAAUAAUAAUAAUAAUAAUAAUAAUAAUAAUAAGAUUUGGAAAGUUGAAUUAAUAAUAAUAAUGAUAAUAAUAAUAAUGAUAAUAAGAAUAAUAAUAAUAAGAUUUUGAAAGUGCUUUGGGUUCCAUCCCCAUCAUAAGCCCAAGUCUAUGAACCCAAGUCCAUUCAUUAAAAAAGCUUUGGGCUCCAUCUCCAUCAAGCCCAUGUCCAUUCAUUAAAAGAAGCCCAUGUCCAUUCAUUAAAAGAGCCUUGGCUCCAUCUCUAUCAAGCCCAUGUCCAUUCAUUAAAAGAAGCCCAUGUCCAUUCAUUAAAAGAGCCUUGGGCUCCAUCUCCAUCAAGCCCACGUCCAUUCAUUAAAAGAACCUUGGGCUCCAUCUCCAUCAAGCCCAAGUCAUUAAACUAAAAGGAGCCCAGGUCCAUUCAUUAAAAGAAGCCCAUGUCCAUUCAUUAAAAGAGCCUUGGGCUCCAUCUCCAUCAAGCCCAAGUCAUUAAAUUAAAAGGAGCCCAGGUUCAUAAGCUCAUUAAAUUAAAAGAAGCCCAGCCUGCCUCCAUCUCCAUCAUUCAUUAAAUUAAAAAAAGAGCCCAGGUCCAUAAGCCCAAAUGACCCAAGCCUGCCUUCGAUCUCCAGCAAAGCUGGUUUUCCACUUGGGUGUCAUCUUCAGCCAAGGAGCCUCCACCACCGGCGACGCAAUGGAGAGGGAUGCGACGGCGACGAUGGCGGAGUAGACAACAUUUUGGGUGAGGGCGCUAGUGGCAGUCAGGAUGAUGGUGCAAAUGGUGGACUCGGUGCUUGGAGAGAAAUAAUGGGAAAUAAAGGUGUAAAGAGAGAAAAUAAAUAUCAUGAAUAAUGGGCUUGGCAGGCAAGGUGGGAUAAUAGAUGUGGUGGUGUGAUCAGACAAAAUGGGUUAGAGUUUAGCGGGUAUGAAGACAAGGAUCAUGAAUGGUGGGAUGAGGAGCAAAAGCUAGUGAGAGAAUAUGGGUAUAGGAGGGGUGGACUGGUUUGCAUGCAUUUUUCCAGCAACCUUUGGGCUUGGCAGCUGCUUUAGGUUUAGGCUCGGAAGCUUUGGGCUUAAAAUUCUGGCACAAGCAUAACAAGCUCCAAACCAAAGAGUAAACUAACAAUAACUGAUUGGAAGGAUGAAACUAAAUUCACAAUCACACAACAUGCAUCAUUACAAAGCAGAAACUAGAGACUAAUAAAAAAAGUUGUAUCAAUAUUAACCUUUUAAUGGAAUAAUAAACAACUUACAAGAUGUUUGGGAAGCAAGAAUUAUUGGGUCCUCAUGUCCAGGAAACUGCUUUUUUUUUUUUUUUUGUUGACUGAAAGCAGCCCCCAUUUGUAGAAGAAGGAGAAGCGCAUGACCCCUCGGUGCCCUUUUUUCCUGCCUCAGACAACAACCCCUUUUUCAUCAAAAACCCCCCCUCCGCAAGUCAUGGACCUGCUCCUCUCUUCUCUGCCACCCUUGCUGCCACCAACAACCUCACCUCAAUUUCUUUCCCAUCUCACCCACUCUCAUAAAAAAAAUAAAAAUCCAUACUUUGCCUUGGGGUGCUCAACCAACCGGGGGGGGGGGGGGGGGGGGGNNNNNNNNNNNNNNNNNNNNNNNNNNNNNNNNNNNNNNNNNNNNNNNNNNNNNNNNNNNNNNNNNNNNNNNNNNNNNNNNNNNNNNNNNNNNNNNNNNNNAAAAACCUCACUUAAUUUUUUUCCCUUUUUCACCCCUUUUAAAAAAAAAAAAAAAAACCCCCCCUUUCCCUGGGGGGGCCCCCCCCCCCGGGGGGGGGGGGGGGGGGGGGGUGUAUACAAAUAUGCCCCUCUUCGGUAGAGUUCAUGAGUGUAAGGAAUAUGAGCACUAGAGUGAAAAGAAAGUGUGAAUAGUGAGUGGAAUGAAGUGAACUCUACUGAAGAACAAAGGAGACCCCCAAAAGGACACUAACGAGACAAAAACUCACUUAAACCAACAGAUGAGCAAAAUGGGUUUAACCCUAAGAGAAAAGCAGAUCUCUCAAAAUGCCUCUAAAGCCAAACAGAGGACUCAGGCUCCCUUUAAGACGUCUCCAAAAGUGACUCGAAAGACCAUAUCAAAGAUAAGUAACGGUCGAACCCCUCUGAAGUACAAAAAAGACUACGCCUAAAGGAGACUGCCUUAUGCGAACUUCAUGAGAAUGACUAGUGUAGGGUGUCCAACAACAUGACCGAAGUAAGUGUCGUGAACUCAAAGGUCACCGUGUCAUGAGCAAUGAAAAGGGGAAUUUGGAAGAGUGAUGACAAGUAGGCGAUAAGCACAGGGUAACAUGGUGAGGAAAAUGAGAAUAAAUGCAAACCCAUGAAGGCAAGAUGUGCAAUGCCAAUGAACAUGAAUGCCAGGGACUCUAACUCUGAAUGAUACGAAUGAGGAGAAAUGACUUUGAACGUCAAAACACGAGAAAGAUAAGGACUUAAGGUGCCCGAACGAAUAUGUACAAUGGCUCUGAACGCCAAACUAAAGAGAGAUGGUGGCAUUGAAUGCCUGAACGAGUGUGAAAGAUGGCUCUGAACGCCAAAACUAAGAAAUAUGGACUUUGAGCGUCGAACUGAAAGUGUGACUCGGAACGCCAAACUGAGAUCAUGGCUCCGAGCGCUGAACGGAAGAAAUAUAUGAUAGUUCGGAGUGCCAAACUAGAAACAAACAAAAGCUCUGAAUGCUAAACUAAAGAUGUACAAAGGCUCCGAGUGCCUAAAAUGUGGCUCUGAAUGUCGGACUGAAAAUGCUAAUGGCUCUGAAUGUUGGGACUGAAGACGAUGAUGGCUCUGAACGCCGAAACUGAAGAUGAUGAUCGCUCUGAACGUCGAACUGAGAACGAUGAUGGCUCUGAACACCAAAACUGAAAAUGGUGAUGGCUCUGAAUGCUGAAGUUGAGAAACGGUGAUGGCUCAACGCCAAGUCGUGAAUGCUGAUGACUUUAAAUGCCGAAGCUGAGAAACGGUGAUGACUCUGAGCGCCAAAACUGAGAAGAGAUAGUGGCUCUGAACGCCAAACUGUGAAUGCUGAUGGCUCUGAACACCGAUUUGAGAAGAAAUAAUGGCUCUGAAUGCCAAAUGGAAAAUGCUGAUGGCUCUAAACACCGAACUGAGAAGAAAUAAUGGCUCUGAACGCCAAAUGAAAAAUGUUGAUAGCUCUGAAUGCCGAGACUAAGAAGAAAUAGUGGCUCUGAACGCUGAUUACUACUCACUAAGUGCUAUUUCAUAGCUUGUAAUUAACUCUUUUAAACACUUUUGAGUAGUAGUUAUCACAUUUUAACCCAAUUAACAUAUUAAGGACCCUUGCAAUCAAUUCUAAUCAAAUUGUGUUAAGUUUUGGUGUUUUGAUAGCUUUUUGAUCACCAAAGCAAUCCGAGAUUGAGGAGAGUUCUUUGGAAUCCAUGGCAAAAGAUGUUCGGACAGGGCGUCCGGAAACACCAUUGGAAGGCAGCGGAACGUGGGCUGUGGCAGGCUGUCGGAAUGACGUAGCAAGGCUUGUGCACUAUAGCCAAUGAUCCGGACAACAUAUCCGAAUAGGAUAUGCUAUCGUCCGGGGUGUGAUGAUCGCGAGUGCCAUGUGCUUCUCCCUGAGGGAGUCCGGAUAGGGGAGCUCGCUGCAUGUCCUCUUGAAGAAUUCAGAUGGAGUUGCUCCGGAUAGCGAUGCGCGCUCCAUGUCAUCAGGGGGAGGGGUCCCUACACCUUGAACACGCAGACGACCCCCUUACGACGUGUGGCAUCGCACAUUCCACCCGGAUGUCUCACAUCCGGAAUUCUUCAGUGAAGGGGAGAAGGACCAUGGUUCAACAGUAAAUGCAAAUCCGGAAAAAGAGCUUAUUAAGGAAGAAUUGAUGAAGAAACGCACAUCUCCACCUUUUCCUCAAGCUUUGCAUGGGAAAAAGGGGAUUAGAAAUGCAUCUAAAUUUCUUGAAGUAUUGAGACAAGUGAAAGUUAAUAUCCCACUGCUGGAUAUGAUUAAACAAGUUCCAACGUAUGCAAAAUUCCUAAAGGACUUAUGUACUAUCAAAAGAGGCUUGAAUGUGAAUAAGAAAACCUUUUUGACUGAGCAAGUGAGUGCCAUCAUACAAUGCAAAUCUCCUUUGAAGUACAAAGAUCCGGGAUGUCCUACCAUUUCAGUUAUGAUUAGAGGAAAGGUAGUGGAAAAAGCUUUGUUAGAUUUGGGAGCAAGUAUGAAUUUGUUGCCAUACUCUGUUUAUAAGCAAUUGGGACUUGGUGAGUUGAAGCCAACAUCAAUCACCCUAUCUCUAGCAGAUAGAUCAGUAAAAAUUCCAAGGGGGGUAAUUGAGGAUGUCUUAGUUCAAGAUGAUAAUUUCUACUAUCCGAUAGAUUUUGUUCUUCUUGAUAUGGAUCCUACUGUAAAGGAAGCUAAUUCAGUUCCUAUCAUCCUUGGAAGGCCAUUCCUUGCUACCUCAAAUGCAAUCAUCAAUUGUAGGAAUGGACUCAUGCAACUCACUUUUGGCAACAUGACACUUGAGCUCAACAUUUUUUAUAUGUCUAAAAAGCAAAUCACUCCGGAAGAAGAAGAAGGUCCAGAAGAGGUAUGCAUUAUCGACACUCUAGUGGAGGAGCACUAUAAUCAGAAUAUGCAAACAAGCUCUGAAGAUGUUUCCUCAAAGAAUGAGUGGCUAGACUUUUUGUUCCUUGGAGUUAAGGUUGUCGGGAAAGGUUCCAAGUGCAAGAAUUAGUAGCUUUGUGGUUUCAGCCAUUAAUGAAGAGAAAGUCUGAUCCUUUAAUGAUUUCUAUGUUUUUAGUUAACUUAAAACACCUUCAAUUCACUUGAGCCAACACUUGGUAAGGCAAGUGAUCUCCGUCCAUGGAGAGGCACUAGUUUACCUCUUGCGAGCUUUUGGGAAGUGACUUGAAGGUAGGAUUUUCUAGAAUUGCCAACACUUGGUAAGCUUUUGGAUUCCAAUGAGACAUCCAUUAGUUAUCUCUUGCGAGCUUGAGAAGGGAAGUCCAAAGUUAAAGAUCACCUUGAAUGGCAAAUGCUAGGUGAGAGGCAUGAGCCAUUGCAAGUUGCAUCAGUGAGAGGGAAUUAGAGCUGAAAUCCAUUUAAAGGAUACAUCUGUACAACACCGAUUAGAGAAUUGACUAUAUGUUAAUUCUCUAAUGCGAGGAAAUGAACCAAAUGACCGGAGCUCUGUCUUUGCAUGAGGAACCUCCUCUGUGAACCUAAACCUCCAAGGAAUGUUUUUCUUCAUAAGUAACUUCCAUUACUUCCUUUGCCGUUAGUUUAAACCUAAACCUUUUUCAACCAAAAUUUGUGUUUUAUUUCUUAAGCUAACCUUGAAAUGAAAGGGCACCAAUUCACUUUGAAUUGGUAUCAUUUAUGAAUUGAAAACCCUUCCCAGUGAACGAUCUUAGAGCCACUAUGUUAUAGUAGCUUUGUCUUUGCUACCCUAGUUCAUGGUGUAAUAGGUUAUAAAAUUUGUUGAUUACUCCCUCAAUCAAGGAGCACCAACUGGACAUAAAUCAGCUGAUACACCAAUUGGGCACGAAUCAAACGCCAAAUGGAAAAUGCUAAUGGCUCUGAACGUCGAACCGAGAAGAGAUAGUGGCUCUGAAUACCAAAUGGGAAAUGUUGAUGGCUCUAAACGCCGAGACUGAGAAGAAAUAGUGGCUCUGAACGCCAAAUGGAAAAUGUUGAUGGCUCUGAACGCCGAGACUGAGAAGAAAUAGUGGAUCUGAAAGCCAAAAGGAACAUGUUGAUGGCCUUGAACGCCGAGACUGAGAAGAAAUAGUGGCUCUGAAUGCCAAGUGAAAAAUGUUGAUGGCUCUGAAUGCCAAGACUGAGAAGAAAUAGUGGCUCUGAACGCCAAAUGGAAAAUGAUGAUGGCUCUGAACGCCGAACUAAGAAGAAAUAGUGGCUCUGAACGCCAAAUGCGAAAUGCUGAUGGCUCUGAACGCCGAGACUGAGAAGAAAUAGUGGCUCUGAACGCCAAAUGGAACAUGCUGAUGGCCUUGAACGUCGAGACUAAGAAGAGAUAGUGGCUCUGAACGCCAAAUGGGAAAUGCUGAUGGCUCUAAACGCCAAUCUGAUAAGAAAUAAUGGCUCUAAACGCCAAAUGGAAAAUGCUGAUGGCUCUGAACGCCGAGACUAAAAAGAAAUAGUGGCUCUGAACGCCAAAUGGAACAUGCUGAUGGCCCUGAACGUCGAGACUGAGAAGAAAUAGUGGCUCUGAAUGCCAAGUGAAAAAUGUUGAUGGCUCUGAAUGCCAAGACUGAGAAGAAAUAGUGGCUCUGAACGCCAAAUGGAAAAUGUUGAUGGCUAUGAACGCCGAACUGAGAAGAAAUAGUGGCUCUGAAUGCCAAGUGAAAAAUGUUGGAGGGAAAUAUGCCCCAGUGUAGCGUGUCACCACAACUCUCGAUCCAUCGGAAGGGUCUAGAAGAGACUCUAUAAGUCUCGAAAGAUGCUCGGCUAGUGAAUCGGGACGAUCAAAUCGCAUGAUCCACUAGGGAAUCUCCAGAAAAGCGAUCUGAUAGGGUAACUCCCGUGAUCUUAAUACAACCAUCUACUGAAGAAUCAUGGAUAGCGAGGCAGUCACAACCCGAACGUCCUGCCCCACUGAAAGCUCACCUCGAUGAAAAUCAAAGGAGUAGUGACCAGAUGUGGAGCUUGAAAAGCCCAAAAUUUGAAGAAGGUUGAUUUGAACUAGAUCCAAAUGAACACCGUGUUGAAACAGGGAUGUGGACCUUAAUUCAAAUUCAACCAAGCUAAGCUUGAAAACUAACUUUUUGUAACCGGGGGCUUUCUUUUAUGCUUCUCCAAUGUUUUCAGUCAAGAUUGCUAAAUUGACUGAUUAAAAUGAUAUGGUUAUGAGGCCUGGACCUAGGGCCAGUAUGAAUCCGCAUGAACUUGAUAAUGAGGCCCUAGCACUUAAACCUGUCUUUUGGUUCCAUGCUUGCAAGGAUUCACCACAACCCUCAAAACAAGGAGGCAAAUCAAACAAGAUUGCAGAAAAUUCUACGGUUCUGGGCUUCGAAGGAAGUUUAUGAUCAUGAUACAAUUUAUGGGCUUUAGGGUGAGAUGAUUGGUGGACCCCCAAGCAAUUCUUUCUCAAGCCCUAUUAAGGAGUUAUCUGUUGUUCCUAUGGAUUCUCUCAGCUGUUCCAGGCGGUGCGAUCCUCCCCCCUAUAAAACCAACCUCACAUCUCUCUCAUUCACAUUUCAUUCACAACAUAUCGAAUAGUGGGUUGAGACCUGAUUAUCUGAUUGUUGGGUAUUUCAAAAGACACAUUUCCACAAAUUUUUUUAUCAUACACAUUAAAAAAAUUGAAUUUUUACUCAAGGUGUCUCUUGAAGAGACACUUUCCAUAAUUCUAUAAAAUUAAAUUCAUAUUAAAGGUGUUUCUUUGAAGAAACAACUUCAAAAAAAUAAAAUAAAAUCUAUCUAUUAAUUAGUUUUAUCCUGAAUACAACUAAAUAUUUAAAUUUUAUCACAUGUAUACAUCAUAAUCAAUAUUUUGACCUUUCAAUAUGUGGACUUGUAUUUUUCACGAUGCAUCCAACUCAACUGGCGAGACUUGUUUUCUUUUAAUGAAAAAUUGUAUUUUAUAAAAUAUUGGAGUUGCCACUUACUUCUAUUUAUUUUUAAAGGGGAAAUUAAGUAAAAACAAAACCCCUAAAAUGACUCAUGAUUUUUGGAAAAGCUAUAUGCGAAAAACUCGAGUUUAGGUCUGUGGAUCAGGUUACCUAACGAGAAGGUACCUCCAAAGAGGUAACAUCCCUCUAAGCCCUAACGAGGUCUCUACUACCUAAGUUGAGGGAAAUAUGACAAUUAGUCAAUUUAUUAUGGAUACCUAGAUAGGCUAAGGUGAUUUCGAAUGUUUGUUAAUUCUAACAUGCCAAACAAGGGUUCUAAACACAUUUAUAAAGAAAGGAUAGUAUGCAUACCUGAACUGCAACUUAAGCGCUAUCACAAAACAUCAAUGGUUAGUUAAAAAAAACUCAGAACCUAUAUUUUACCCUAGUCUCUUAAUCAUACAUGGCAAGUCAACAAGCAAUAAAAAAGAUAUGAAAUGAAGAUGUGAAGGUAAGAAGCAUACCUAAAUAACGUAGAUAACUUACAAUGCGCUUCCACAAUACAUGGGAGGUUGAAUCAAAGUUAUAAUAAUAGACAAUUAAAAAAAAGUAAUCCUAGUGUGCAUGGUGUUCGAAUAGCAUAACAGAAAUAACCAGAGUAUAAGGAAACACCAAUUAUCACACAAGUCAUGUAUACAACUCCAAAAAUCAAGGGUUAUGAUUAAAACAUGUAGCAAAAGGGGUAACGCACUAUUAUCAAAAGGAAAAUUAUAAAUUAAUAUUUAGGAACAUCAUUUGAUCAUGAAAAAUUAAGAAAACCUUUCUAUUAUGUCUAUAUCACAAUACAACAACCAACAACAAAUUAUGAGAUGUUAAAUGGUCUUGAAUUAAACAACAAUGCAAGCACGAUGCAAAACUUCUAGUCCAUAAUCAGAAUAAGGCAUCUUUAAGAAUAAAUCCUAAGAAAAUAAAAUAAAAUGGAAUUUGAUCAUACCAAAUCACAAAAGACUCUCGUCAAUGUCUAUAAAAACAUGCCAAAGUUCAAGCAUUCAAUUAAAUAACAUAUUCAAUUCAAAAUAUCCAAAAGUUCCAAAAGGUCUAGAAUUUGGCAGAAAAUAGUAACCAGUGUAAACUGAAUUUUAAAAAUACCUAAAAGCCUUUUAAAUUCAUAAAAAAAACUCACACAAGUCAUUUAAGAUGUCUAGAUAGUCCAAAAAUUUAAUCCAAGGUCAGAAAGCAUUCAUAAGAAUUUUUAGAAUACUAUAAUAUAUCAGUUGUCAAGAUUCAGUCAUGUAAAGUGUGACUUUGAAAAAUCAUAUCUCCGUCAAGAAGACAUUUUUUUUUAAUAAUUUAUGUGUUAAAAUUCAAUUUCAAGAAGUCAAUAAUCUGGGAAAAAUAUUAAUUUAAAUUGAAAAGAUCAAAAGGUAAUUUAAUUUUUCAAAACAAGAUUGAGUGUCAAAAACAAGGUGGAAAUUGAACCUUCUGAAAAAUUGAUUUAUUCUUAUAAUUAGAAAACCAUAUUUGAUCUAAGCAAGAUUAUAUAAUCAAGUUCAAAGAGUCUAGAAUGUCAUGGAAUAGUUAUAAAAAUUUUAAAGGGUAUUUAAGUUAUCAGAUUCCAAUUUAUGAAUACAGAAGUAAAGUGAACUAUCCACAAUUUCAAUGAAAAACUAUGUUUUGAAAAAAAAAAAAAUCUUUGUAUGUAGGGAUCUAUUAAAUCCCAUUUUAAUUUCCAUGAAUUUAUCCAUAAAGACUCCAUUUAUUGCACUAUGAAACUUAAUUCAUGUAUACUCAAAACCAAAAUUCAUUUUAAAACUUUUUUUCAAAUAUGCAUACCGAAUAAAAUUGGUUGCAUGAAUUUUGGAAAAUUGAAUUUUCAUAACCUAACAAUGUUUAAGAUGAAUUUGAAAAUUUGAGAAUUAACUUUUUUAGAAAGCUAGAUUGAAAAGCAUUUUGAAAACGCUAACAAAUACAAAUAAUCACAUAAAAUCACACAACCAAAAGAAGAAAAUUCCUAAGGAAACAAAGUGGUGUGUGCUGAAAGUGAGUGAAUCAUGCUGAGUUGUGUGUGAUGAGAGUGGAAGUGUGGUUGAUGUGUGUGUGUUCAUAGUGGCAACCUGGUGGUCUCCUUCUCUAUGCAGCUGUGUGUGCCUUCUUCAUCAGUUCGACUAGUGUGUGUUCUUCGAAAUUCAGUUGGUGGUGUUCUUUUUCACAAGCUUAUGCAAAUUCUCAAAAUUUAGCAAUCUAAUGCGUGCUUGUGCUAGCAACCUAGUGGUUUCAAAAUCUGAUGGUGUGAUAAUGUGUUUAUUGUUUUUCUCUUCACCACCAUGCACUAUCAACUCACCUCUCCACCAUUAACAGUCGUACACAAUCAGAUUGCCUCCCCAAAGUUCUAAAAAUUCCAAUAAUUCUUUUAUUCCCACCAAAAUUCAAAUCUGUCCAUUAACAGCCACUUCUCUAAUACCUUCUCAUCCUCUUCCCUUCAAGCCAAAACCAUGCACUAAAUCCGUGUGACUCUAGAACAUUUUGUCGCCUUCUUUUUUCCAUACAUCGUGCACAAAACAGCCUCCAUUUUAGAAAAAUCUAGUGCUCACACCAAUCCCUACCGUGUUCAUAAUCAGCUUAGGUGUUCCCCACGCUCUAAUGCUCUCCACUUUACAAAUUCUGAUUUUCAUAUUUCAUUCCUCCACUAAGCCGAAUCUGGUAUCAUCUCACCAAAUACCCAUACCUUUUCAUCCAAUCAUCAACUUCAUAUCGUUCUUUCAAACCAAUGCACUCAAUUUUAACCAUUUAAAAAAUGAAUUCACGCAUUCAUUCUUCCACCAGAAAAAAUCCCCUCCUUUCCAAUCCAUCAUUCCGAUGAUAUUUCUCAUACCCAUAUGCGUGUGUGCAUGGCUAUUUGUGGGUACAACCCAUGAAAAAAAAAUUGUGCAUGGAGCCCUUUUCUGUGCACAACUUUAAAAAAAUUCUGGGGGUCUCUCAAGAAAAUGGACUGUGCGUGUGUUGAAACAAUUUUCAAUGGAUGCAAUUGUAUUCCAGAUGACCUUCCAUACCACUCUCAUGCUGAAUGGGGCAUGUUGUGUCUUUCUUUUUUUCAAAACCUCGUCCUCUCCCUCAACAUUAACAAGAAACCAAACAAUAGGCAGAAAAGAACAAAAACACAUAAAUGAUGUAGGUUAAAGAAAAAAAAACAUAGAACCUAGCUCCAUUUCAUUGAUUCUCAAUGGGCUUUAAACGGGUGAAACCAUUAGGAAGCUGAAGAAGCUCUCAAGGAACAAUUUUAAAACAAUCCAUGCAUCAAAUAUUUAUAGGAGAGGUUAAUGAAAGAAAAGAAACACAGUAAAACCCAAAACAGAGCAUGUGCAUACAUAAUCAUAUUCCACAAGAUAAACUUCAAGUAAUGCCUAACAAAGCAAUGAACAUGUCAAUAGCAAUACGCAUGCAGACACACCAAAUAUUUGCAAAGCUCAAUAUGCAUCCUCUAUUACCCACAAACAAAUAGACAAAUAAUGUCUAAGUAACAAACAGAACAAUAGUAAUGAGGAAUAAUCAAUUAAAAAAAUGCAAAGAAACCAUACUUGAAGGUGCUCUUCUAAUCUUCCCUCGGAUUGGUCAGUUUUCCUUGUUCCCCUCUCCCCCUUUAGAGAAUCUUUUCUUGUCUCUUUUCUGUUUCUCUCCACUCUUCCUAAAAAGUCAGAACCUCCACUUUCCUCUUUUUCAUUCCUUCCUCUCAAGGCUUUUCCAUCUCAUUUUCCUUAUCAAAAUCCUUCUUCUUGAAGGUUUCUCUCUAUCCUGUCGAAAAUCACCUUUCUUCCUCAUGCAAAAACCCUUUGGAAAUCCCCUCUUUCCUUCUUCCCCAUCAUCUCUUGUUUCCAUUGUAAGUUUUCUUACCUUCAAAUUUUUAUUUUUUUAUAUUGUUUUUAAAUAAAUAAAUAAAUGAUAACAACAAUAAUAUCAAUAAUAAAAAUAGAUAAGUAACACAUAUUAAAAUGUGAUAAUAAUAAUAAUAACUGUAAUAAUAAUAGUAAUAAUAAUAGAAACAAUAAUAACAAAAAACAAUUCUUAUGAUGAUGAUAACAAAAUAAACAAUGACUAAAAAAAUGAAUAAAUAAUUAAAUAUAAGUAUGUGACACACAUUUACAAAGAAGAUCAUGCAAGCCAUGCAAGCUACGUCAACCAUGCAAAUAACUUAUAGGUGUUGGAGUAAGCCUAAGUGGACUAGGUGCACCUAGAUGGACCGGGUAUGCCUAAUGGGUUUGGGUAAACCUAAUGGGCCUAAAUAUGUCUAACCAAGCUAUUAUAAAAGUGUACCUAGUAUCCAAAGUGGCUCAAAGAGGUAAGUUAUAUGAGUAUCGAUGGGCCACCAGGAACUACUUUGGAGUGUUGAAAGAACAUUUAAUCAGGGCAUGUGACAAGGGGACAAAAUGGAGGGUUUACACAAUCCAAUAUCAAUCAAAAUGAGUAAACCAAAUGUCAAUUAAGUCGACACUUUCUAAAAUAGUAGCAAUAUUAUUUUGUCUAAAAUAAUUCCAAAAUAGGUACAAUACUAAAGAACUUAUGUUGUUAAUCAACAAUUACUAAAUCUAAAAUAGAGUAAGUAAUAAAUAUACAUUAUUACUAUUUGUCCAAAAUAAUAACAUGCAAAGUAUUAACAAUAUCCAAAAUAGAAAUCAUAUAUAGUAACAUCCUUAAUAUGUACAACACGAAUGAGCUUUCCUUUUUCGUUGUGGACGUCAAUGAUAUGCAUGUUUCACUAUUGGUUGUAGGGGGUUGACAUGUGCUCUCCCAUUUCCUUGAUGACCACAUUCCUCACCAUGUCCUCGACCACGAUAAUCCUCUUGUCCUUGUUGAUCAUCAUUUGUUGUAUGAACUAGCUCCUCAUCAACCAAUGUAGUCUUUAAUGGUUAUGGUCAUAAUGCAACAAGUGGUACUACAAGUGAGGUGGAUGACACCUCCACAGGUGUAAUAGGAGUCUCCUCCAUAGGUGGUGGGCCAAUGACAAUCAAUGGUGCAUCUACAAGAAUAGGUAUAUGCCUAGUCUCCCUCCCAUGAGCCCAUUUUCCUUUAGUUCGUACACCUCUUGAUCGAUGCUAGAGAUGUGUAGUAACAACAACAUUAAAUCAAGUCUAAUAUUACAAAGGUGGAAGAGUGGAUGAUAUCAACUACUAAUGAGGUGGUAGACUGAUGUUAGUUUAUGGUGCACAUAUAACAACUAGUGUAUGCUUAGUCUCCCUUUUAAUAGGCCAUUGUCCUAGUUUGUAUGCCUCCUAAUCGAGGCUAGAGUUGUGUAGAAGCAUCAACACUAAAUAGAGCAUCUAAGUGAUCCAUCUCAUGUAUGCCCUCUAAUACAAUAGUACACAAUCUAUGAAUAUGCAUAUCAUUUGGAGGUGCAAUAUCAUAUAUAUGAUGUAUGAUGGAAUUUGUAAGUCAAAUAUGAGAUAAGUUAAAUUCUUAUAAAAAUAAAAUAAAUUUCAAUAAAAAGUGAAGACAUGCAAAUUACCAAUAGCUCAUGGAAGGACCUAGUCUGAGUAAGAAAUAAAAGAGUAACAGAGAGGUACCACACCAUCUAUGGAUCAUAAUAUCCCAAUGGACCUAUAGCCAUCUCGUCCCUAGCAAUAUGUUUGCUCCUAGAGCUCCAACAUAGAAUAUUGUCUCGAUGUUGAACAGUCCAAUCAACAUCAAGUCUACCUCUAAAAUCACAUUUAUGUAAGAUUGACUCAUUAUCACAUGGCUGAGAAAUCCCUUGACAAAAUCCAAACUGUCGUAAUACUCAGUCAAGUCUAUGUCAUUCAACUAUAUGUGGAAACAUAUUAAAGGUGAGAUAAUGCACCAUAUAUCUUUCUCAACUGUACAAUAAUCAAGAACUUCAACAUUCAUGUCAUCAACAUAAGGUUUUCAUUUAAUUUAUAGUAAAGAAAGGUUAGAUAUAAUCAAUGGUUUGAAAUUUCUUUAGAGAAAAAAAUUUAAGAAAUGAAUCAAACUUUUAUCACCUGAUCUACGGUAAGUCGAUCAAGCUAGUGCCUAUACCGAACUAAGACAUGCAUGGAUGUCGAAGUAGUACAAAACUCAUAUCUCCAACUAUAAAAAUAAAAAACAAAGAUUAAAUAAAAAAAUAAAUGUUAGAAUUUAAGUUUAUAUAUCCUCAUAAUAGUAAAUUGAUGGUAAUGAUGCAUAUGUACUGUAUGGUUAAUGGAGAUAGAGGCAGUUGGUCAUCAUAUGAAGUUAUAUGUAAACAAUGAGAUGCAUUAAAAAGGAACCUAUCCCAUACCCACAACUGGAGUAAAAAAAGUAGACUAGAUAUAUCAUGUAUAUCACUUUAAGAUACUCGACACAAUUGUUGAUAAAGUCAAGCUAAAUAGGCGUUACCCUAACUAUAGCUAUCAACAACCUCAAAAUCCUCUGGAACAGGUUGAAACAUAAGAUACACCUUAUCUCUAGACUUUUCUGAAAAAGAAAACCUCUAAUGAGUUGUAAGAUAUAUGCCUUGGUAUAAUGCCAAAUAGACUACUCAUCAAUAUCUAGUGUCAAAAUAGGGAAGCUUUGACUUAACCAUGUAACAUGAAUAUGAUCGAUUGAUUUUGUCGAUUUAUCAUAUCAAAACACAAUUUUUAACCUGAUUCACUAUUCUAGAGUAGCUUGUACCCAAUCAAAAAUAGUUUUAGUACAAACUAUCGUAGUAUAGUGGUUUUUAGGUGUCAUUCACUAGGAUGGAUUAUUCUCGGUAAUUAAGGAUUGAAUGAGAGGAUAAGAAAUGAUUGUGAUCAAGUGAAAUUUAUUUGAAAAUUCAUGGUCAAAAAUAAGUUUAACAAUGGUCUCAAAUUAAGAAGAACAAUGAAAUGUAAAAUAUAAGAAAAUUAAUAGGAACUGAAAUUCUCAGAGUUAAAAUUUUCUAGAAAACAAAUUCCACGAUGAAUAGAUGUUGAGAUCUAAUUUUUAUCAAGUUUUAUUGAAAACCUAAAUUUUCAUCUAAACCAAUCUUUGAUUUAACUUUAGGUUCACAUCUAAUUUCUCUUCAAAUUAGGUCAUUUAAUCCAAGAGAUCAAUUCAAAUCAUAUAUUCAAUUCAUCUUAAAUUAUCUUCCAAUGAUUCACACAAUGCAACUAUUCAAUCUCAUCAAAUCUAGCUUUAAGAAUUUAAUGAGUCUACCUAGUUUGCAUUGUAGUAGUCAUCCAAGACAAUUUGAAGAGAAAAAUCCCCAAAAUUUAAUUAAUCAAUCAAUUGGAUCAAAUUACCUUUGUAAUUCAAGCUCAUUUCUCUAAUUCACCAUGAAUCUUGCUUUUAGAUCAUCAUUUCUCUGAGAAAAACGAGAUUUAGCCACUCAUGCUUAGAGAUUUGGUCUCAUAAGGCAUGUUUAGCUAGUGAGAAAAUGAGAGAAAAUAAAGGAAAAUAGACAAUUCUAUUGAGAGAGAAAAUCUGGAAAAUUCUACAAUUAGAAGUGUCCAAAAAGCUUCUCACAUGAGAAAUUCAAGUUUCUAUUUAUAGGCCAAGGUCAAGUGGACACUUGGCAACCUCUCAUUGGUCUUCUAGAACCUUCUAAAUUUAAAGAAAUCUGGAAGUUUAACAUUUCACAUGAAAUCUGGAGAUUUCGCAUAAGAUAUUCACAUUUCGCACGAUCGUGCGAAAUUCUAAGGUGAGUGGUUAAAGCAUGUUCAAACACUUUCUAGACCAUUUCGCAUGAUCAUGCGAAAUCAACUUACACAUCUUCCUUAGCUUGCAACCAAUUUUCCUUCUCUAGUUCAUUUCCUACAAUCAUGUGAAAUUUUUGCAUGAUCAUGCAAAUCUGCAACAUUUGGUUUUUGAGCUUUCCUUUGUCAUUUAUUCCAUUUCCUUCUUUUGAUUCCACCUUAACUACUUCCAAUUAGCUCAAAUCUCGGUCCAAACCAAUUGCUUUACUUAUUUCAUUAUGCAUUUGGAUUACCAUUAACAUUAUUUGUUCUCUUCAAUUUGAGUCAUCUCUUGUCAUCAAUUUAUCAAAAUCAUUCCUUGAAAUGACUCCAAAACUUCAUAAAACUUGUUAGUAACUCUUUCAAGGGAAACAACAUGUUAAUUGAGUGUUUUAAGCAUAAUUACUACUCAAAAUUGUGAAACUCAUGAGAAUUAUUAUCUAAAAUAUUCUCUUUUUUAUGAUGAUGACAAUGUCCAAAGAAAACAUGAUUUCAAUGAUUCACAUAGAGUUUUUAAAAUUUCACACAAGUGUGCAAACUAGACAAGAAGGUGAAGUGUGUUGCAACUACUCUCUUCUUUUAAAAUAAUUUGGCACAAUCAUGCAAAAAUUCGCAUGUACAUGCGAAUAAGUCAAGAGAGCUCUAUCUUAUUGUAGCCUUCAACAUAAUUUUUGCAUGGUCAUGCGAAUUGGUCCAGAGGCUUAAAACUGCUGCAGUCAUCCACAUUAGUUUCGCACAGUCAUACAAAAAUUUCACUUGAUCAUGCGAAAUGAGACAAAAACCCAUUUUUUAGCAUUUUCAAAACUAUGAAAACUCCCAUGUUUUUGGCAUGAAUUCCCUUGUUUUUUGCAUGAAUGUGUAAACCGGUGAUGGGCCAUUAAAACUCCUUUUUCCUUACUUCAUGCAUUCCAUCCAUCUGAAAAGUCCUUCAAAACACAAAUAAAAAAUUUGAAAUGGAUUUAUUUAAUGGAAACUAAAAAAAAAUCAAUCAAUCAAAAUUCAAAGGAAAGUGGAGAAAUGCCAAACCAUUGGGCUAGCUAGCCAUUGACAUGACUAAGCCCAUUAACCUUUACACCAAUACUCGAUUUGGAUAUGGCUUGCAAACAAUGAAUUGACUAACUCCUUGGUACUUAAGCUUUCCCGAAAAAAGAUGUGGCUUGAAAUAACCUUCUUUGAACUUGUUCUUUUAAAUAAGUUGGUCAUGCCAUUCCUUGAACUUCUUUUUCAUGGUCUUUGAAUUAUUGUGCAUACCAUACUUCAUGGUUUUCACUUUCUUCAAGAUGAAAGACCAUUUCAUUAACUUCAAAGGUUGAAUUUCUUCAUUGAUCUUCCAAACUUCAAUCCGUUCAUUGGAAAUUGUUUCACCAAGUUUUGAAAAAUUAUCUUCAACCUUUUCCUUGGCAUAGGCUGUAACUUGUCUAAUCAUGUCAAGGAGUGCUAUAUUGACUUUUGCUUGCUUUAAAACUUCAAAAAAAUUUAGAGCAUUAUUUACGACUUUCUUAGAUUGAAGAGCCAUGGGAAAAGGUGGAGCUAAGAGCAUAUCCUUGUUCAUUUUAGCUUCACUCUUCUUCUCUUUCAAAACUUUCAGCUUUUGUUCUUUUACUCUUCUCAUCAUCUUCAUUCUUCUCUUUCUUCUCUUUUGGUUUUGGCAUAGGUUGAUCAACUUGCUUACCACCUCUUAAGGUAAUGGUUGCUUUGAUUUCAUACUCUUUAGUAGAACUUUCACUUGUCUCUCCAAUUUCAUGGACUCCACUUGGAUUUUGUUAGGGUUGUGAAGAAAAUUUUCCUUUUUCUUGCACCGUAUGCAUGCUUGUGAGUUUAGAAAUAGCAAAUUACAUAUUAUCAAUCUUUUGUGUGAGAUUGGUUUACAAGCUAUCAAAUUUAUGAUUGAAAGAUGUCUUGACAUGAUCUAUCCUUUGAUUUACUUGAGUAUUGAUAUUCUUUUUAUCACUAAUAAAAUCUCCCAAAAUUUUACUCAAGUUUACAAUAGCUUGCUUAACCAAAUAAACUUGUUGUGGAGAGUCUUCCAUGAAUUAUUAGCUUUGUGAGUAUUGGCUUGAAGAAAAUUGCUCUUGUCCACAAUUCCAUGACAUGUUCAGAUGAUUCUCAACGAGUCUUUCCCCCAUAGCUGGUAUUAUAGGACAAUCACUCAAUUCAUGUUCUAUAGAUUGACAACCAGAACAUUGCUCCAUGUAAAUUGGAUUGUCAUAUAUUGCAUUCACCUCAUGAAAUCCCUUACCUUCAAGUUCCUCUAGCCUUCUUGUCAAAGCUAUCAUUUUAGCUUGUAGAUCGACAUUUUCAUUCAACAUAUACAUUCCUCCAUUUCAAUUGCUUUGAGACUUGGACUUGUGUAAAUCCCUUUCAUGUGGCUCAUCCCAUGACCCUGAUAUUUCAACCACAUAAUUCAAAAUUUUAAAGGCUUCAUUAGGACUUUUGCUCAUAAAGUCACCUCCACACAUGGUUUCUAGCAAUUGCUUCAUAGUUGGCAGCAUGCCCUCAUAGAAGUAACUCACCAAUAUCCAUGUGUUAAAACCAUGAUAAGGACAAGCAUUGACUACUUCCAUAAAUAUUUCCCAACAAGCAUAAAAAAUUUUAUUGUUCAAUGCCACAAAGUUGAUAAUUUGCCUUUCCAAGCCACUAGUGCGAUGUGUGGGAAAAAAUUUCUUCAAGAAGGUUGUUUGUAGUUCCAAACAUGACCUUAUGCUUUGGGGCCUAAAUGAGUUGAACCACAACUUAGCCUUAUCCUUCAAUGUGAAUGGAAAAAUCUUCAAUCUCAUAAGCUCUAUGGAUGCAGUCCCUUCUUGAAAAGUAUGACAUACUUCUUCAAAAUCCUUUAUAUGAGUUUAAGGAUUCUCAUUCCCCAUUCCAUGAAAUUGAGGGAGAAGUAGUACCAAGUGAGUUUUUAUCACAAUAGGCUCAUUAGGAAGAAUUAUACAAGAUCCCACGCCUAUCCUUUGAGGAUGCAUAUAUUCUCUCAUUGAUCUAGACAUCUGAGAAUUAUCAUUGUUUGGUCUAUGAUGACUUUGUUGGUCUUUCCCUUGAUUUUCCAUUUCUUCAACAAUUGGAUCACAAACCAAAGAUGGUUAGCAAUGCAAGUCCUUUUCAAUCUCUCCCUCAAAUUUUAUUCUUAAUGUAGCAUGCAAUGGAGAGCCUACAAAACAAGCCAAAAAAAACCAAAACAAACCAAGAAGAACAAAAAGAGAAAUAAAAGAUAAAAAUUGAAUAAAAAAUAAUAAGAAAAAUGAAGAAUUGGUAAAGAGAACUUCACCAAUCUUGUGAUGUGGAUCACAAGGGUUAAUCCUCACAAAAAAAAAAAAAUGCCUCAAUCACCUUGGCACCAUCCCAAGCAACGACAUCAUUUUUUAUCAAUUGAUUUUUUCGAUUUAUUGCAUCAAAACACAAUUUAUAACCUAAUUCCCUAUUCUAGAGUAGCUUGUACCUAAACAAAAAUGGUUUUAGUACAAACUACCAUAGUAUAGUGGUUUUUAGGUGUCAUCCACUAGGAUGGAUUAUUCUUAGUAAUUAAGGAUUGAAUGAGAGGAUAAGAAAUGAUUGCGAUCAAGUGAAAUUUAUUUGAAAAUAUAUGGUGAAAAAUAAAUUUAACAAUGGUAUCAAAUUAAGAAGAAUAGUAAAAUGUAAAAUAGAAGAAAAUUAAUAGGAAAUGAAAUUCUUAGAGUUAGAAUAUUCUAGAAAACAAAUUCCAUGGUGAAUAGAUGUUGAGAUCUAAUUUUCAUCAAUUUAGAUUGAAAACCUAAAUUUUCAUCUAAACCAAUUUUUUAUUUAGUUUUAGGUCUAGAUCUAAUUUAUCUUCAAAUUAGGUCAUUUAAUCCAAAAGAUCAAUUCAAAUCAUAUAUUCAAUUUAUCUUAAAUUAUCUUCCAAUGAUUCACACAAUGCAACUAUUCAAUCUCAUUAAAUCUAGCUUUAAGAAUUUAAUGAAUCUACCUAGUUUGCAUUGUAGUAGUCCUCCGAGACAAUUUGAAGAGAAAAAAUCCCCAAAAUUCAAUUAUUCAAUCAAUUGGAUCAAAUUACCUUUGUAAUUUAAGCUCAUUUCUUUAAUUCACCAUGGAUCUUGCUUCUAGAUCCUCCUUUCUUCGAGAAAAACGAGAUUUAGCCACUCAUGCUUGGAGAUUUGGUCUCACAAGGCAUGUUUGGCUAGUGAGAAAAUGAGAGAAAAUAAAGGAAAAUAUAGAAUUCUAUUGAGAGAGAAAAUUUGGAGAAUUCUACAAUUAAAAGUGUCCAAGAAGCUUCUCACAUGAGAAAUUCAAGUUUCUAUUUAUAGGCCAAGGUCAAGUGGACACUUAGCAACCUCUCAUUGGUCUUCUAGAACCUUCCAAAUUUAAAGAAAUCUGGAAGUUUAACAUUUCGCAUGAUUAUGCGAAAUGAACUUACACAUCUUCCUUAGCUUCCAACCAAUUUUCCUCCUUUGGUUCUUUUCUCAUGAUCAUGCGAAUAUGUAACAUUUGGUUUUUAAGCUUCCUUUUGUCAUUUCUUCCAUUCCUUCUUUUGAUUCCACUACCUCCAAUUAGCUCAAAUCCCAGUCCAAACCAAUUGCAUUACUUCUUUCAUUAUGCAUUUGGAUCAUCAUCAACAUUAUUUGUUCUCUUCAAUUUGAUUCAUCUCUUUUGUCACUAAUUUAUCAAAAUCAUACCUUGAAAUGACUCCAAAAUUUCAUAAAACUUGUUGGUAACUCUUGCAAGGGAAACAACAUGUUAAUUGAGUGUUUUAGGCAUAAUUACUACUCAAAAGAUGUGAAACUCAUGAGAAUUAUUAUCUAAAAUAUGCUCUUUUUUAGUAGUAAUUAGAAGGCAUUGCCCAUCUAUGUAUGUGUCCUCAGUAAUAAGACUUAAUAAAGAUGACACAUGUCUAUUAUUUGGACAUGUGCUACCAAUAAAUUCUACUCCAUCUACUGGUAGUUCAAGAAGAAUGGUAAUAUCUUGUAGUGUAAUUGUGCACUCCCCCUGAGGUAAGUGGAAAUUAUGAGUCUCUAGUUGCCAUAUUUCAAUAAAUACAGUAAUAAGGUGUCAAUCUAAGGAAAUGAAUCCUAAGCGUACAACACCAUAGAAGCCUGCUUGCUAUAGUAAUGGAAUAAUACGUCCAUAUGGUGCACUGGUGUGAUGGAAAAUUGCCUUACAAUGUCGACAAUAGAGUUCCUUUAAGUCAACACUUUUCCAUGCUAGAGAAGACUAGUGUGUGUCCUGUCCAUGUAGAAUUGUAAGAUCCAAUGGUCCUAAAUCCAUUAUGCGAUAAUGUUGGGAACUCUGGAUUGCUCCGUUCCCAUGCCCUGAAUCGCAUAGGGUGCAUGCAAACCUAUCCAAGGCUCUCUAAAUCUAUCGCAAUGGAUAAACAUGUAUUAAAAAUGAUAAGAAUACAAUAGAAAACAUAGAUCUAAAGAGUAAAGUCACAUACCUUUGAUUUGAAUGUUCUCAUAUAGAUUCCAAUUGAUGUAGAUAACUCCAAAGUCGUAGUAGAUCUCGUAAACACCAUGAUCUUCCACCCGAUGACUCUUCCUUGUGUCUAAGCACUGAGAUGGUGGAGAUCUCAAGGGUAGAGGCUAGGGUUCUCUCUCUAGACUAAAGGGGAGAAUGGUAAGAGAUUCAAACCCUAACCUUUAAAGGGGUAUUUAUAAGCUUCUUAUUAGGCUUAAGUUACUUAAAACCACCAUGGGCUUGGGUCACUUAAUCUAGCCCAAAAAGGUUGUUAAUUGAUUGAUUAACCAUAUAGGGCCCUAAUUAAUCAAUUAGCCUAGUCCAAAUAUGCCACUCACUUAUCCUUGUGCAACCUUGUGUAAUUACCAAAAUGCCUUUGUACACAAAAGUGAACUAAAAACCCAUCCAACCCUCAUAAACCGUGCUAUCAAGGAAUAUGAGCUCAGAGCGGGGACCACUAUGACCCAUAGGAGUACUGGCUCCCUCAUAAUCAAAUUCUAAAAUUGACUCAACAUCCCACUACAGAGAGUUAACUACACUCUAGUACCUUAUGUAAAUUACAACGAUACACUAAGUGCUCAGGUUAGUGACCUACUAUCCACUAUAUGCAAACUCCCCAUAAACUGGUGUCCAUAAUCUAUUGAAGUAGUGUUAUCACCUAUCAAGAUUACCUCUCAAAUCCUUGAGUUACAGAUCUCACUUAUUAUGUGAUCAACUUACUCUAGCUCUAAGGAGCAUAUGUCAAAUUCUACUAAAGGAAUUACUGUGGCCACAUAUUUCAUGAUCACAUGUUCUUUAGAUCACCAAGGGGACACACUGUCUCAAUCCCAUGAGAUAUCAUGGUGUUUCUAUUGAGAAUACCUAUUGCCACCAUCCUCCAUCAAUAGUGACCUAAUCCAUAGGGAUAUAUAACCACUUUAAGGUCUCACCCAUUGUAGACCCUCAAUUUUGUUCCUUUAGCACAUGCCUUUAAGUUCAUUUCCAGUGUUCCACAAUAGUUCCUUGGUGGCCCGUAGCUACUCACACUACUUACCUUUCUUGAGCCACCUCGGAGACUCUGGUUAAGGGAUUGCCUAACCCCUUAUUGUGACCCUUGGUAGUUUUUAUUAGACUUAAGCUUUUCAUUCCUUUUUAGGAUAGUGCUUAGGCAUGUUUAGGUCACUUAGAUCACUUUAGGACACUUAGUUCAUUAGGCACCCACUUAGGCCCGUUUAAACACUUCAUCGGGCUUAACUUUUAUAUAUAUAUAUAUAUAUAUAUAUAUAUAUAUAUAUAUAACUUUUAUUAUUAUUAUUAUUAUUAUUAUUAUUAUUAUUGCAUGCAUUCGAUGAUUAUAUUUAUUUUGUUUAUUCAUUUUCAUUUUUACUCUUUAUUUGUUUAUUAUUAUUAUUAUUAUUACUAUUUUUAUUUUUAUUUUUAUUUUUAUUUUAUUUAUUCUUAUCUAAUAGGAAAUUGCUUGAAUUGUUUAGACUCUAAAAUGUGCAAAUAACCCUUUAUUGAAUGGUGGAAUUAUAUAACCUGGUUUCUCUUUCUUUUUUCUUUCUUUUCUUUUAAAAUCGUAUUCAUUUUACUACCAAUCUCAUAAUUUUUCAUCAGUUUCUUCUCUUUUCUUUUACCUUUUUUAAUUUUAUUUUAUUCUGUUUUGCAUGAGGAGAAAAAUUGCAUGGGAUUUCUUCGAGAAGAUUAUGAGCAAGGCAAAGAUGUACAUGCAGCAAGAAAGAUCUGAGAAAUCCAUCUACAGAAUAUUACCGUAAAUUAUUAGUUGGGCAUUUAUACCCAUCUCUAGUGUGCGUCCAAGCAUCACGUGACCACCACUUUUCGGUUCCAAAAGGCUUUAAAAGGUUGUAGACGCAUGCGUUUUAAGGGGGGGCCAUCAAGCAUUCACUCGACAAGCAAGAGAAACACAUAGGCUGCAUUGUUCUCCAACAAUAUACAACAACAUACAUUCUUGAAGAGAAGAAGGUAGAUAGAGGCAAGCAAUGGGGUUUAACAUGAGAAGCAGAAGAGGGUUUUUGAAACAAAUUGGAACUCUUUACGCAUCCUAUACAACUUAUCAAAUUCAAAAUAGGUUUCUUCAUUCGACUAUGGCCAAACCCCUUUCUCCUUCAUCUGCCCAUACUCCACUGAAUUGCAACCUCAACUUUCCACUGAUCUUAUUGGGAUUAUGGAACAAAGGCUGUCAGCGAUUGAACAUAGGAGUGCUUAUCUUCAAUAUUUUAUAAAGUGGACAGCCAGAAGCCUCACCAAUGGAGUAUGCUAGUGUUGGGACAUCAUUUGUUUUUAUCCGGGUAGGGCCGCUGAGUAUAUUUGGUUCUGUGCCAGUCAGGGGCACCACAGAGUGGCCUUCCUAGGAUUCGAACUUGGGUCCAGGCCUUAAGGCUUAGGACGUUGCCUUCCUGGUACCAUCUAGGCUACUAGCUCAGAUGGUACCAGGAGGGCAACUGUCUGGGUUAAGGUCCCGAGUUCGAAUCCUGGUGACGUCACCCACAAAGGCCAAAUAAACAAAUGGCCCCAUAAGACUCUGCGUUGUCCGGCCCAUUCCGGCUGUGACGCCCCUGACUGGCACAGUUCAGUGGUAGGCUGGGCACCAGAGCAAAAAAGGUCGACGUUUAUGUUGGGACAUCAUUUGUUUUUAUCUGGGCAGGGCCGCAGAGUAUAUUUGGCUCUGUGCCAGUCAGGGGCACCACAGAGUGGCCUUCCCAGGAUUCGAACUUGGGUCCAGUCUUAGGACGUUGCCCUCCUGGUGACGUCCCCAGNNNNNNNNNNNNNNNNNNNNNNNNNNNNNNNNNNNNNNNNNNNNNNNNNNNNNNNNNNNNNNNNNNNNNNNNNNNNNNNNNNNNNNNNNNNNNNNNNNNNGUCAGGGGCACCAGAGAGUGGCCUUACCAGGAUUGGAACUUGGGUCCAGUCUUAGGACGUUGCCCUCCAGGUGACGUCCCCAGGCUUCGAACUCAGGACCUUAACCCAGACAGUUGCCUUCCUAGUACCAUCUACGCUAGUAUCCCAUAUGGUACCAGGAGGGCAACGUCCUAAGCCUUAAGGCCUGGACCCAAGUUUGAAUCCUAGGAAGGCCACUCUAUGGUGCCCCUGACUGGCACAGAGCCAAAUAUACUCCGCGGCCCUGCCCGGAUAAAAACAAAUGACGUCCCAACAACUAGGACUAAUAAGGAGCUUCGGAAACUCAGAAGUUCAAUCAAACAUAUUGAUUCGACUCAUGGUAGCUUAGCUUUAAAGGCGUAUCAACAAAAUUUAUACCUUAAAUACUAUUACUAAAGUAGCCAAGCUACUAUAGCAUAGUGGUUCUAGGAUCGUUCACUGGGAAGGGUUUUCGCAAACAGUAGUGAUAUUCAAAUUAGGAAAAUAGGUGAUUUUCUUAUGCAUGUUAGCUUUAAAAGAAGAUGUAAAUAUUUCAGAAAGAUUUAANNNNNNNNNNNNNNNNNNNNNNNNNNNNNNNNNNNNNNNNNNNNNNNNNNNNNNNNNNNNNNNNNNNNNNNNNNNNNNNNNNNNNNNNNNNNNNNNNNNNAAGUGGUUUAUAUAUCCCUAUGGAUUAGGUCACUUUUGAUGGAGGAGGGUGGCAAUAGGUAUUCUCAAUAGAAACACCCUGAUAUCUCAUGGGAUUGAGACAGUGUGUCCCCUUGGUGAUCUAAAGAACAUGUGAUCAUGAAAUAUGUGGCCACAGUAAUUCCUUUAGUAGAAUCUGACAUAUGCUCGCCAGAGCUCGAGUAAGUUAAUCCUAGGAAGGCCACUCUAUGGUGCCCCUGACUGGCACAGAGCCAAAUAUACUCCGCGGCCCUGCCCGGAUAAAAACAAAUGACGUCCCAACAACUAGGACUAAUAAGGAGCUUCGGAAACUCAGAAGUUCAAUCAAACAUAUUGAUUCGACUCAUGGUAGCUUAGCUUUAAAGGCGUAUCAACAAAAUUUAUACCUUAAAUACUAUUACUAAAGUAGCCAAGCUACUAUAGCAUAGUGGUUCUAGGAUCGUUCACUGGGAAGGGUUUUCGCAAACAGUAGUGAUAUUCAAAUUAGGAAAAUAGGUGAUUUUCUUAUGCAUGUUAGCUUUAAAAGAAGAUGUAAAUAUUUCAGAAAGAUUUAAACUAAUCUAAGCUAACAUUAAAGACUAAAAUGAAAGGGUGUAAAAACAAGUUUCUCAAAUAUAGGAUAGCGAUGCUUUGGCUCUUAUGCAAAUUGGAAAUCUCAGGAUAGGCUCCUCGCGUUGGGGUUGCAACUAUGGUGAUGCUUGCUUCCCGAACCGGUAUGGAUUUAGCAAAUCAAGUUUUAAUCCUUUAAAAUGGCAAAACAGAUGGUAGUGAAUUUCAUCAAUGGUUAUUCACCUUAGACUUCCUUUGAAUGGCUCGUAAGAGAUAACUAAUGGUCUAAAGCCAAAAGCUUACCAAAUAUUGGCAACUCAAAGUCAUUCCAAGUGAUAAACUCACCUUUCAAUGGCCAUUGAAAUUGGUUCUAAUGGAUUAAUGCAAAACUUGGAAUUGAAAACCUCACCUUCCAAUAGCUCGUAGGAGAUAACUAAUGGAUAGAAAUCCAAAAGCUUAUCAAGUAUUGGUCGUUGGAAGUUGUCCAAAGGAAAUAAAAACCAAACUUUGCCUUAAUGAACCUUUAAUGAAAAACGUCUACCUUACCUUCCGGGUGAGAGAAAUUUCCAUGGGAUUGCAUCCAAGCCAUCACAUAACAUCCAUACUUUGAGAAACUAAAAGUUUUAGCCAAUCAUCCUCUAAGGAAAAGCCCUUAGAGGCUGUUUGGCUACUAAGAAAAUAGAAACGGGAGAACAAGAGAAGAGAGAAAAACAGAGCAAGGCUCCGUCUCUGUAUAUAUGCGUCUCUGUCUUCAAGAGGUGAUUUCCACCCCUAAUAUAGUCUUUACAAAAGCAAAAGCUUGUGAUUGGUUAGUUACAAGGAUAAGAAAGGAAAUUACAUCACAAAAUACAAAGGAAAAUAUCUAAAGUGGAGUCGGCAAAGGCAGAGCAAAAUUCGCAACACGCAUGGGUUAUGCGAAUGUUAUGCGAAUGUUAUGCGAAUUUCGCAUAACACCUUGUGGAAUGCGAAAUUUUCGCAUAACCUGGAGCAGUUGGCUUCUGAAGGCCAUAUCUUCCUCAUUUCAGCUCCAAAUCGUGUAUGGUUUGAAGCGUUGGAUUCUUGACUUCCAGAGCUUUGAAAUGGUAUAUAGUAUGCAAAAAAUGGACUUCAGGAAGUGCUCCAAAAGUGCGAAAGAAGACUGCAGCUGCUGUCCUCUUUGCUUCUCUUCACUUUGCUUGCUUUUCCUCUUUGCUUCUCUUUGCUUGUGCUCGUGUUUCCACUUGAAAUUCAAGCUUGUAAAUGUCCAAAAUCCUUGCUUUAACUUGUCCAAGUAGCUCCUCCAUCAUUUGGCAUGCUUGAAUCGAUUCAUAAGCUGAUAAAAACAUGUAAACUUGCCACAAAAUGGUUAAAACCAAUUACUAAGGACCUUAAUGAAUUAAUUAGGUUAAAUGAAUAUGAUUACUACUCAAAGGUGCUUAAAACCAUUAUAAUUAGGUCUACAAAAUAGCACUUUUUGGUAGUAAUCACACCCCCCAACCGACUCAUUGCUAGUCCCUUAGCAAUGGAGGAGAUAAAAACUAAGUAAACUAUAAUAAUAUACAUAAAAGGGAUCAUGCAAAUCACUCCAAAAAAAUGAUAUGAGUGGCAUGAUGGACAUCCAUGGAUCAAUAAAGAUGUGAAACUCAACCUAUAAUAAGAGUUGUCAAAGCAUUCACUUGAUCAUAGAGUACAAAGAAUGGAUAUUAUGCAAGUUUAAGCAUCAAAAGAAUUUCCACUCUCAAAAGAUCCAAAUCAAAUUCUUCCACUAAAAGCUAAGUGUUAAUGUGAUUAGCUUCCGAGUAUAGUAUGGAUAACUAUCAUCUCCCCCCAACCUAAGUCUUUCUUUAAGCUUAGCAAAAUUAACCAUCUCUUGAUAGGCUAGGAACGCACCUCUUAUUCACAAUUCUUUUCACUUACUAAACUUAACCAAUUCACCCAUGUAACAAGCAGAGGAUCGGUGACUCCCAACCAAUAAAGGCUUAGGGCACCAGGCUUUAAAGGCUUUCGCCACCCCUUCGGACCAUGCUCAGGUUUAAAGGUAAGCAAAGAAGUUUAUUCUAUUUUUUUUUUCUUUUUCUUUUUCUUUUUCUUUUUUUUUUCAAAGACUCAUUGGUCUUUAUGAGGUGUCCCAACACUAUUAAAGAGAGGUUAAAGGUGUCAAAUUAUGAUUUCUCAAGCUUAGAGGGUGAUAUAGUUUCACAUCUUAUAACCGGAAUCUAAUGUAUGUUUGUGCGAAUAGCUUAAGGUGGAAGAGAUAAGUUUGCAUGCAAUGAGAGUUUCAACAAUUCAUCAACUUUUAGAAGAGCAUAAUACAAACUCUAAGACUCAUGUAAUCAAGUUGAAACUCGACUUCUCUCAUUUAAUUUUGAGAGUUAAUCCUUAAUAUCCAUGGAGUUUAAGCAAAAAUUUUAAAAUUUAAACAAAAGGUAGCUAAUUUAACUAAGUAUGAUAAAAAUUUAAACUAAUACUUACUUCCUCAUCUCUCCCCCCAACCGAGAUGAACAUUGUCCUCAAUGUUUGAAUCGAAAAUAAGGAGGAAGGAAGUGGUACCUCAUGUGAUGUGGACUUGGAGUUGAGAAGGUUGAACCACCUAUUUCAAAAUUCAAAAAUUGAAUGAGAGAGGAAUUUAUACUAAAUAUUUACAAAAAUGAUGAGUGGGCCCCACUUUGAGCAGCUGAGGACAAGGCUCAAAGGCUCCAUGCCAUGAUGGUAUACUGAUAUAAGUUGCAAUGACAUUUGAAUGUAGCUUGCAGGGGUGUUAAAAUUGGAGAUUUUUGGCUAAAACAGGGGAAAGUUAAAAAUUCGCACAAGGGGGGUGUUAUGCGAAAAUUUCGCACUAGGGGGGGUGUUAUGCGAAUUUCGCAUAACACCUUGUGGAAUGCGAAAUUUUCGCAUAAGCACUAUUCACCCGCCCAAAUGCAAAAUUGGAUUCUUUCAAAUGGUGAUAACUUCUUCGUUUCAAAUCCAAAUCGCACACCGUUUGAAGCACUGGACUUCUAACUUCCUAAGCUUCAAAAAGAGAUAUGGUAAGCAUAAUUUGAGCUCCAGAAAGUGCUCCAAAAACGUGUCCAACAGUAGCAAAAUGGGGUGCGGCUGCAACAUUCCCGUUUAGCUUUGCACAGUCAUCUUCAAACGGCCAUAACUUCUUCGUUUCAGCUCCAAAUCAAGCACCGUUUGAACCUAUGAACUCCUGACUUCCCAAGAUUUGAAACGAGAUAUCGUACACAUAAUUUGAGUUUCAGGAAGUGAUCUAAAUGUGCCCAACAGUUGCCGAAAUGGGGUGGUGCGAAUUGCUCUGUUUUGGCUUUUCUCCCCUGUUUUCCCUUGUUUUCACCAUAACUUCGAUUUUUGCAAGCAUCAUACCUGCAUGAACACUUCAAAACUCAUCUUAAAAACAUAUUAAAACUAAAUUAAAGCUAAAAAUUCAAAUUAAAACAUGCAUGAAUUUAAAGAAAGCAUAGAAUUUAAAUGAAGCUGAUAGCAUGUAUCCCAAAAAGAAGAUGAACUAUUUAGCUCAUCCUCACUCACACACCCACUUCAUGCUGAACUCCCCCUGGAUCCCAAACAAAAUUGGCAUCCUUCACAUUUGGCCCAAGGGAAUUCGUUUCUCUUCUCUUCCCUGGAGAAGUGGAUGCUUUAAAGGGUUCAAGUAACCCUUUAUCAUCUUGAACCUUAUGAUUUUCAAUGGAAGGUUGGUCCAUAAAGUUGUCAUAGCAAUCCCCCACCAAAGUGUCAAUCAUCAACACUUUCCUUGAUCUUUUUGCAUUGGUUCCUUGAAGGUUAUGGUGGGGUUGAGGAGGAAGCUUCCUUUUCCCCCUUGCUAUGUCGAGAUUGGUGAGCUUCUCAAUGGAGUCUUGAACUUUUUCUAUCCUUAGUGAUAGAUCAUUAUAAACUCCCUCCAUUCUUACAUUCAUUGAACUCUCCAUAUUAUCAAUCUUUUCAUUAAGAUGAGAGUUGAUCUUUUGUUGCCCACCUACAAAGUCCUCCAUGACUUUGCUUAUCUUCAAAAUGGCUUGCUCCAAUGAAGAUGUACUCAUUGAUGGUUGAGGUUGAGGUUGGGUUGUAAGGUUGGGAUGUUUUAUAUACUCAAAUGAAGUUGGCAUGGCUUGUGGUUGUGCUUCAGUAUGCACAUUCCUCAAUUCAAACUCUUCUAUCCUUCUAGCCAUAGAUGCUAGCUUUGCCUUCAUGCUCAUGUCUUCAUUCAAAGCAUACUUACUACCCCAUUGGCUUUGUUGAACUUGCCUUUUCCCUAACUCAAUCCGAUCCCUCAUGGAUAGGUAUGCAAAUUUGUCCUUCUCAUGAUCAUAAUGAGAGCUUUGAUCUUCAUGUGGAAUUUCCAUUUCUAAAAAAAAAUGAUAUUCAACUAAGGCUCUUUUCUUCAACUUGUACCAGGGUUCCCUCUUGGUCUCGAAUCCAACAAGGAAUGCACAAAUUGAAAUUAAAACAAAAAUAAAAGAAAAGAAAAUAAAAAAUUUAACUAAAUAAAAAUUAAACUAAAAAAAAUUAUAAGAAAACUCACCAAACUUGUGAUGAAGAUCACAAGUUACCCUUAAUGGUUGCUUCACUGUGCUUGUGGCACCUUCCCCGGCAACGGCGCCAUUUGAUUCGACUCAUGGUAGCUUAGCUUUAAAGGCGUAUCAACAAAAUUUAUACCUUAAAUACUAUUACUAAAGUAGCCAAGCUACUAUAGCAUAGUGGUUCUAGGAUCGUUCACUGGGAAGGGUUUUCGCAAACAGUAGUGAUAUUCAAAUUAGGAAAAUAGGUGAUUUUCUUAUGCAUGUUAGCUUUAAAAGAAGAUGUAAAUAUUUCAGAAAGAUUUAAACUAAUCUAAGCUAACAUUAAAGACUAAAAUGAAAGGGUGUAAAAACAAGUUUCUCAAAUAUAGGAUAGCGAUGCUUUGGCUCUUAUGCAAAUUGGAAAUCUCAGGAUAGGCUCCUCGCGUUGGGGUUGCAACUAUGGUGAUGCUUGCUUCCCGAACCGGUAUGGAUUUAGCAAAUCAAGUUUUAAUCCUUUAAAAUGGCAAAACAGAUGGUAGUGAAUUUCAUCAAUGGUUAUUCACCUUAGACUUCCUUUGAAUGGCUCGUAAGAGAUAACUAAUGGUCUAAAGCCAAAAGCUUACCAAAUAUUGGCAACUCAAAGUCAUUCCAAGUGAUAAACUCACCUUUCAAUGGCCAUUGAAAUUGGUUCUAAUGGAUUAAUGCAAAACUUGGAAUUGAAAACCUCACCUUCCAAUAGCUCGUAGGAGAUAACUAAUGGAUAGAAAUCCAAAAGCUUAUCAAGUAUUGGUCGUUGGAAGUUGUCCAAAGGAAAUAAAAACCAAACUUUGCCUUAAUGAACCUUUAAUGAAAAACGUCUACCUUACCUUCCGGGUGAGAGAAAUUUCCAUGGGAUUGCAUCCAAGCCAUCACAUAACAUCCAUACUUUGAGAAACUAAAAGUUUUAGCCAAUCAUCCUCUAAGGAAAAGCCCUUAGAGGCUGUUUGGCUACUAAGAAAAUAGAAACGGGAGAACAAGAGAAGAGAGAAAAACAGAGCAAGGCUCCGUCUCUGUAUAUAUGCGUCUCUGUCUUCAAGAGAUGAUUUCCACCCCUAAUAUAGUCUUUACAAAAGCAAAAGCUUGUGAUUGGUUAGUUACAAGGAUAAGAAAGGAAAUUACAUCACAAAAUACAAAGGAAAAUAUCUAAAGUGGAGUCGGCAAAGGCAGAGCAAAAUUCGCAACACGCAUGGGUUAUGCGAAUGUUAUGCGAAUGUUAUGCGAAUUUCGCAUAACACCUUGUGGAAUGCGAAAUUUUCGCAUAACCUAGAGCAGUUGGCUUCCGAAGGCCAUAUCUUCCUCAUUUCAGCUCCAAAUCGUGCAUGGUUUGAAGCGUUGGAUUCUUGACUUCCAGAGAUUUGAAAUGGUAUAUAGUAUGCAAAAAAUGGACUUCGGGAAGUGCUCCAAAAGUGCGAAAGAAGACUGCAGCUGCUGUCCUCUUUGCUUCUCUUCACUUUGCUUGCUUUUCCUCUUUGCUUCUCUUUGCUUGUGCUCGUGUUUCCACUUGAAAUUCAAGCUUGUAAAUGUCCAAAAUCCUUGCUUUAACUUGUCCAAGUAGCUCCUCCAUCAUUUGGCAUGCUUGAAUCGAUUCAUAAGCUGAUAAAAACAUGUAAACUUGCCACAAAAUGGUUAAAACCAAUUACUAAGAACCUUAAUGAAUUAAUUGGGUUAAAUGAAUAUGAUUACUACUCAAAGGUGCUUAAAACCAUUAUAAUUAGGUCUACAAAAUAGCACUUUUUGGUAGUAAUCACAUAUAACUGAGUUGAGGAAUAAACAGAAGAAGAUUGAUGGUUUGAAGUCGCUCAUGGUCGAAUGUUUAGAAGAUAAAGAUAUGCUUAACAUGGCAGCUGAGGAAUUGGGUCAGGCCAUAGAGGAAGAGAAAAGGCUACAGAAUCUGCUACUAAAAUCAUUACUUCCCAAGGAUGAAGUUGAUGAAAGGGACUAGCAAUGGUGGUGAAAACCAGCUCGUGUCGACGUCGCUAUACGUCGGUGGCCUAGAAUCAAACGUCACCGACUCGCAUCUCUUUGAUUUGUUUGGUCAACUGGGUCCGGUGGUUUCCGUUCAGAUUUGCUGCGACUUGAGCACUCGAAGAUCACUCAAUUAUGGUUGUGUUAAUCAUGGCAAUCCCCAAGACACCGUAAGGGCAUUGGAUGUGUUGAAUUUCACUCAUCUCAAUGGAAAGCCAACUAGGAUUAUGUAUUCCCAUUGUGACCCUAGUGUCCGCAAAAGUGGAACUAGGAAUAUAUUUAUUAAGAAUUUGGAUAAAAGGGUUGACCACAAAGCAUUGCGUGACACUUUUUCCACAUUCGGUAACAUCUUCUCAUGUAAGGUAGCCGCUGAUGCAUCUGGAUCAUAUAGUGGGCUGUGAGGAGAUUCUUUUUUGUUUUUUUUAGAAAGAAAAGUCAACAUGGUAAGGAUCUGAUCACUUACCAAAUAUGACAAGGCGGCAUCUUGAGGGAAUCUCCAAGUGAGUCACCAUGUAUGUACUUUCCAUAUAUCGAUGCGCAUUAAAAAGGAAAUGGAGAAUUCCAUAAAAAUGGUGGGUUGCCAUAUAAAUAGGAACAUAGGAACGGGCAGAGGGAUUUUUUUUUUUUUUUUUAGGAGAGGAUCCAAGCAUAAAGCAGAAUUUUUCAGAGGGGAAUAAGCGGAAAGAAUUUUCACGCGGAACUUUGGAGGAGAGCAAGGGACUUCAGGCAGAAACCAGGCUAUCAGCUUAGUCACCAAGAGAGGAUUUUCUCUUUCACUUCACAUGUUAGUUUUCCAUAUAAUAUUUUUAUUUAGUCUAGAUUUUUUUUAACAAAUAUCAAUUUUUGAUUAAUUCUUUGUGUUAAAGUUUAUUUUGUUUUUAAAUUCUCAAUUAGUUUAGUUCUAAUCCACCUUUUAAUUUUAUUUUCUGAUUUAAUUUGAAUGUGUUAGUGACUUUUAUUCCUUAGUUUAAGUCAUUUGUGAAGUAAACUUUAUUUUUUAAAAUUCCGGAUUAACUUAAUUUAAGUUUAUGAUUUAAUUUGAAUGUGUUAGUGACUUUUAUUCCUUAGUUUAAGUAAUUUGUGAAGUAAAGUUUUUUUUUUUUAAAUCCCGGAUUAACUUAAUUUUAGUUUAUGAUUUAAUUUGAAUGUGUUAGUGACUUUUAUUCCUUAAUUUAAGUAAUUUGUGAAGUAAAGUUUAUUUUUUAAAAUUCCGGAUUAACUUAAUUUUAGUUUAUGAUUUAAUUUGAAUGUGUUAGUGACUUUAAUUCCUUAGUUUAAGUAAUUUGUGAAGUAAAGUUUAUUUUUUUAAUUCCGGAUUAACUUGAUUUUAGUUUAUGAUUUAAUUUGAAUGUGUUAGUGACUUUUAUUUCUUAAUUUAAGUAAUUUGUGAAGUAAAGUUUUUUUUAAAAAAAAUUCCGGAUUAACUUGAUUUUAGUUUAUGAUUUAAUUUGAAUGUGUUAGUGACUUUUAUUCCUUAGUUUAAAUAAUUUGUGAAGUAAAGUUUAUUUUUUUAAAUUCCGGAUUAACUUAAUUUUACUUUAUGAUUUAAUUUGAAUGUGUUAGUGACUUUAAUUUAUUAGUUUAAGUAAUCUUGUGAGAUAAAGUUUAUAUUUUUAAUUCCGCAUUAGUUUAGUUUUAGUUUAUGUUUUAGUUUGAAUGUAUUAGUAAUUUUAAUCCAUUAGUUAAAUAAUUUCAUUAGAUAAAGUUUAUGUUUUUAAAGGAGUUUUGAUUUUGUUUUAUCCCAUCUUUUUAGUUGAUGUAUUUUUAUAAUCUUAGUUUAGUUUAUUAGAUUAAUUAAUUUUAUUGAUAAAAUUUAUACUUCUAAUCUUGUUUUAGUUUAAUUGCAAUUUAUUGUUUGGUUUGUAUUUUCUUUUUAUAUAAUCUUAGUUCAUUAAUUUAAUCAAUUCUAUUGAUAAAGUUCAUGUUUUUAACCUUGUUUCAGUUUUGUUUUAAUUUAUAUAUUUAGUUUAGGUUUCUUUUUUAGAAUUUUAGUUUAUCAAUUUGGUUGAUCCAUGUAAUUAAUCUCAUGUCUUUUUAAAUUGUUUAUCCUUGUUUUGAUUCAUGUUAUCUAGUUUAAGUGGUUUUAGAAUUCUAGUUUAUUAGUUUAAUUGACCCUAUGCGAUUGAAUUUAUGUUUUUAAAUAUUAAUCUUAUUUUUUAUUCAUCUUUUUAGUACAUGAGUUGUUUAAGUUGAUUGGUUCCAUGUCAUUUUCAUGUUCUUAAACUUGUUAAUUUUAUUUCUUGGUUGAUCCACUUUUAGUUUGUAUGUUUUUUAAAUCUUUAGAUAACUUGUUUAAUUGAUCUUAAGUUGUAUUCUUUCUAUCUUAAAUAUAUAAAUUUUCAUUCUUGGAUUGAUCAUAAUUUAGUUCAUAUGUUUCUCUAAAAUUUUAGUUAAUUAGCUUAAUUGAUCUUAUGUUAGUUUUUUAUUAUUCUUCUGUGUUCAAUUCCCCAUUUUUAAUUCUUGAUUAAUAUCUUCUAAUUUUAUUUGAUCUAAAAUCAUUUAAUUUAUUGCUUUGAUAGUUUUCUUUGUUUUUUUUUUUGUGAAGUUUAAUUUUUAGAGGUCAUUUGAAAAUCAUGAAGAUUGGCUUCUACCCUCACCUUUAUUAGUCUUGUUGAUUACUGAGAAAAUUUUACUUUGUGAUUUUGUUUUAUUUUGGGUUGCCUAUAUUUGAUCUUUGCGAAUUGUUUUUUUGUGAAUAAUGUCUUUCUCUUUAAAAUAAAAUACUUUUCUCAAAAUGUUCCUUAUAAAAAUCCAUUUUAAAAAUUCAUUUAGAGUCCUUAGAAUCAAAAAUCUCAUUUUCUUAAAAUAAUAUGCAACCAAUUUUUUUUAUCAGUUUGCAUCUUUCUUGGUUUUUUUAAUGAAAAUUUUGGUUUUAAAUCAAACACAAAUCCAAGCUUUUGGUCCCUAUAUGUGGUUCAUUAUUCAUGGUGGCCUAGUUAUAGAUAUGUAUAUUAAACUUCAUUCCUUUAACUUUUAAAAGCUGACAUCACAUAUAAUACCCUCAUUAACAAGGACAUUCCCCCCUCAAGAUGGAACAUAUAAAUUUUCAUUGCUUAGCUUGGAAUUGAAAGCCGAAAAUAGGUUUUUGCACAGAGAUGAAGCAAUAUCACUUCCCCUGUGGUUUUGUUGGUUUUUAACCUUCUUAGUUGGUGGUGAGGUUAUUGUUAUUACCUUUAUUGGAUCUUGGUAUCAUUUCUGGAAAUGGAACAGUUACUAUAGUUGAAUUUCUGAAUAAGUUGAAUUUUAACUUUUAUACUCAGACUUUCAAUGAAUUUUUAUCAGAGAGUUGAAACCCGGUGCUAGACCAAUUGCCUGCACGGAACAUGAUGACGUUGUUGUAUGUGCUGCAGAUGAUCGUCUAACAGCAUUUAAAUCUUUUGAAGUUUCUCUAAGAUUUUGGAUUAAGGUAUUAUAUAUCGCUUUGAAUAUUUGUGAUGUAAGAGCUACACAUCUUUUAGAGGUUGUUUUGGUCUCAGCUUUUGCUAUUUUGUUUAGGUAAAAUGAAACUAAUGGUCAGAAGUACUUUCUGAUGAAGAGUAAAAAGUAGUUAUGAUGCAAGAAGUGUGAGCUCCUCGUACCAUCACCCCGGUUGAGACCUUGUGGUUUUCCAUGAAAUUUCCCACAUUUUUCUUUGGUGUGAUAUGUUUUCUUGCUGUACGAGCACUUCUUCAUCAACUCCUGUCUUCCUUGCUCCAUGUUAACAUUAUGAUUUGUACCAUUUGGUUUGGCUCCUCCACUUGGUUUCUUUACAAUCAUGGUUUAUCCAUCCACUAGUGGUGUACCAAGCAUCACCUAUAGACCCCAAAGUUUGUUCCAAUUUUAUUUUUACAUUAAUUUUUGAGCCCACAACAUUUUAUCAUCCUUUAAAGGAUCAGCACACAUGGCAGAGAAGAGGUGACCUUGUACUGGCUGUCCAAAAGGUGACAUGAGGGACCCAUUUGAAAUCUGCUAUCAUGAACACCCUACACCCUCUUUUUUCUUAUUUAAGAAAAAGAAAAACACUGAAAUAGAAGUAGGAGCGUGCGUGUGAGUGUCAGCUCACAUGGUAGAAAAGAUGUGGCCCUUUUACUGUUUCUCCAUUUAACUUAAAGGUUACACUGAACAAAAAUAAGAAGUUUAGGAUAUCAAACACUAGCUGCCCAUUUGGAAAAAAAUGACUGUUUCAAGUCCAUUUGGCAGCCAUUGCGGGACUAAAACAAAAAAAUUACCUUACCCAAUAAAAUGGUAAUUUAUUUCAAUUUGGACCAUAAUUCUCAUUCCUACUAUAUAUUUAUUUAUAUUUGGAAUCAUCAGUUGUAGCAGCCUUGCUUCAUCUACAACCUAAACAUGGUGAUGGUGUUACAAUGCAAAAUUCACCAAUCCUUCUUCAAACUUUUUUGAGUUUUCCCUUGACAAUGCUGUGAUGAAAAGUCCAAGAAAGCCCAAUGAAAAGGAACAGAAAUGCUCACCCUUCUCUCAACUCUCAACUGCUGGUCCCCACCCAAAAUCUAUGCCCAUACUUUCCAAGCAAUAUCCUUAAUUAGUCUGGUAGGCGAAGAAGACUGGGCUCCAAAAGGAUGCUGUGAGAUAUCUGGAAGAUCACCCAUGACAUUUUCAACGUACUGUGCGGUUGAAGGCCGAAAGAUAAACACAAAGCAAGAAAGCAUGGACAUGAGAAACUUGGAAUAGGAGAAAUGGAAAGCAGCAUGUGCCUUAGCAGUGCAAUUUUGUCUCUGUGUUUGUCAUGUAUGUGGUUGGGAGUAGUGCCUUCCAUUUCUAGUGCACAGACAGACACCAUCAAACCUGGGGAAGAGCUUCAAUUCUCGGAAAAAUUACUGGUUUCUGCAAAAGGGACUUUUACUCUAGGCUUCUUCAGCCUGGAAUCUGGCAGUUAUUUAGGAAUAUGGUACACAACUGAUGAUUAUCACAAGAAAGUUUGGGUUGCUAACAGAGACAAGGCUAUAUCCGGCACCGAUGCAAAUCUCACGCUGGAUGCCGAUGGCAAAUUGAUGAUCACGCAUAGUGGGGGUGAUCCAAUUGUCCUGAAUUCCAAUCAAGCAGCCAGAAACUCAACAGCUACUCUGCUUGAUUCUGGAAAUUUUGUUUUGGAAGAGUUCAAUUCGGAUGGAUCUCUGAAGGAGAAACUAUGGGCGAGUUUCGAUAAUCCUACAGACACCCUCCUGCCUGGGAUGAAACUAGGCAUCAACUUGAAAACCGGGCGAAACUGGUCACUUGCUUCAUGGAUAAGCGAACAAGUGCCUGCUCCUGGGACUUUUACUCUGGAAUGGAAUGGCACACAAUUGGUGAUGAAACGCCGAGGGGGCACCUACUGGAGCAGUGGAACCUUGAAAGAUAGGAGCUUUGAGUUCAUUCCUUGGUUGAUGAGCUCUGACACUUUCAAUAACAUCUACAGUUUUAACAGUGUUUCGAAUGCAAACGAGAUUUACUUUAGCUAUUCAGUUCCAGAAGGAGUUGUUUCAGACUGGGUAUUGACCUCGGAAGGGGGACUUUUUGACACUAGUAGACCCGUAUUUGUGCUGGACGAUCAGUGCGCUAGGUAUGAAGAAUAUCCAGGGUGUGCAGUGCAAAACCCACCCACUUGCAGGUCUAGAAAAGACGGAUUCAUGAAGCAAUCGGUUCUCAUAUCAGGAUCACCAUCAUCAAUAAAAGAAAAAUCGAGCUUGGGCCUUAGGGAUUGUAAGGCUUUAUGCUGGAAUGAUUGUUCUUGUACUGCUUAUAAUAGUUUAUACACUAACGGAACUGGAUGUCGGUUUUGGAGUACAAAAUUUGCACAAGCCCUCAAGGAUGACGCAAAUCAGGAGGAGCUCUAUGUUUUAUCCUCAUCACGAGUUACGGGUAAGAGUCUCUCUAUAUUUUUGCAUUCCUGAAAGUAACCAAAGCAAAGUAGUUGAUGAAUCCAACAUUUUUAUUGAAUUUACAACCCUAAUAGGUGAUCAAAAAUUCAAAAUACCAUUAGAGGAGCUAUAUCAUGACCAUAAAAGACCCUCCUUCACUCAGUUCUGCUCUAACCACAAAAUUUAUCAACUUCUAUCUAUGCAGGGAGCAGUUGGUGGAUAUGGGUCAUUAUUGCAGGAGUGGUACUUGUGGUCUUGUUGGUACUUGUGGUCUUGUUACUUACGGGCUCCUUAUACUAUUCAAGGAGAAAAUUCAGAGGUAGUAUUUUAUUUGAACUUUUGUUGAUGAUAGUAAUGCCAUUUGUUAAUGGGUUGGAUUGAACUUGUGACUUGUGGUAUAACAGGGGAGAGAGAAAUGGAGGAAGCUGCGCUGCUUGAAUUGACAACUUCAAACAGCUUUAGUGAUUCAAAAGAUGUUGAACAUGAUGGAAAGAGGGGGGCUCAUGAUCUUAAACUGUUCAGUUUUGAUUCUAUUGUGGCUGCCACGAAUAACUUUUCAUCUGAAAAUAAACUUGGAGAGGGUGGUUUUGGCCAGGUUUAUAAAGUAAAUAUUAUUAUUUCAUUAAUCCAUGGCAUGUAAUAGGAAUAGGACAUUCUUUGUUUUAAGUACCCCAAUUAAAGCUUCCUUUUGGAUUGUGGAUUGUGGAUUGUGGAUUAUUUUUGCAGGGGAAAUUACCUGAGGGGCAAGAAAUAGCAGUGAAGAGACUUUCAAGGGGCUCCAGCCAAGGAUUGGUGGAGUUUAAAAAUGAGAUUAGACUGAUCGUCAAACUCCAACACAUGAAUCUUGUUAGACUUCUGGGUUGCUGCAUCAAGGGAGAAGAAAAGAUGUUAAUCUAUGAGUUCAUGCCCAACAAAAGCUUGGACUUCUUCCUCUUUGGUUUGAAUACUUCCCUUUUUUUCUUCCUUUUAUCUGCAUGACUUUUCCUUAUGUUCUUAUCUUUUUUUUUUUGCUUGAAACAAUUUACUAGCUGUGUGUUGUGUUCACCCAAAUUUUCAGAUCCUGCUAGAAGAAAGAUAUUGGACUGGAAAAGACGUCACAAUAUCAUUGAGGGGAUUGCACAAGGACUUCUUUACUUGCAUAAAUAUUCAAGACUAAGAAUUAUUCAUAGAGAUCUAAAAGCAAGUAACAUCCUACUUGAUCAUGACUUGAACCCGAAAAUUUCUGAUUUUGGCAUGGCCAGAACUUUUGGGCGAAAUGCAUCGGAAGCAAAUACAAAUAGGAUAGUUGGAACAUAGUAAGCAUGACUUUUCUUUAUCUAUCAACUUUCUUUUUCAGUCUAAUGUACUAAACCUUCUACUAUGGAUGCAGUGGUUACAUGCCACCCGAGUAUGCCAUGGAAGGAAUUUUCUCGGUGAAAUCAGAUGUUUAUAGCUUUGGGGUCCUACUGUUGGAGAUUGUGAGCGGCCGAAAGAACAAAAGCUUUCAUCAUAACCACGGUGCCUUUGCCAUAAACCUGGCAGUAUACGUGAGUAUGCUAUAUCUCAUAUUUGUCUCUACAUUAUUUUCAACAGCACCCGGUGUAUCCUUCCAAAAUUUUCAUACUAACCUCAUAAGUAAAUCAACCCUAAAUGAACUGGAAACAGGCUUGGGAUCUAUGGAAAGAAGGUACUAGCUUGGAGCUAGUGGAUCCAAUGCUGGAGGAUUCCUACUCAACAACCCAAAUGUUGAGAUGCAUUCAUAUUGCUCUCUUGUGCGUACAGGAGAGCGCAGCAGAUAGGCCUACAAUGUCAGCUGUUAUCUCCAUGCUCACCAACGAAACUGUGCCCCUACCAAACCCAAAUCUACCCGCAUUUUCCACUCAUCAUAAAGUGUCAGAGCUAGAUUCACACAAAGGCAGGCCAGAGAGUUGUUCUGGAUAUGUAACUAUUUCAGAGACGGAAGGUCGGUAAAGAAGAGAAUUUCAAGGGGUGACAGGAAACCUAGAGACCAGAAGUUGUUGUCCUAACCUAUCAGCAAUUUGUCUAGAUUGAUUUGUAUUGCCACCAUAGAUUUAUUAGAUAUAGAGUCAACUAGGUUUCCCUCAAGGUAAUCUUUUUCAAAGCACAACAGAAGCUGAUUUGGUAUCAUUUGAAACAUAGUUUGAACCUAUAGCCUGCAGCUCUAUUUGCCUUUUUUUCUAGGAAAUUUAUCUAACCAUACACUAAAUACCAAAAUUUUGCCUUUUAGAAACUUUGUUUUUUACUUUUGAAAUUUAGUGGAUUUUGGGGAAAAUAAAUGUUUUUCCAUACACUGUAAUAAUAAUGUUGAGACCCUUCCAAAAAUGCCCACUUUGACAGCUCUCCUAGUUGGAUCACCCACUUGGAAAAGUCACGUAAGCAAGGUCCAAGUCAGCCACCUACUAAAGCUGAUGACAAGGCUCAUGUACAUGUCAUCAUCAAACUAGACACUUCACAUGAAUUGAUUUUUUAAAACAUAUUUACCCCCAAAUGUCUUCUUCUCUCUUCAACCAAACCCUAACACCAAAAACCCAUGUUCUUUCUUCUUCGGUCACAAGCACAACCCAUCACAAGGCGGAAUGAUCCAUAAAAAAUCCGGUAGCUUCUCAAUUUGUCAUAACCCAUCAACCCCAAACGAACCUCCAAACAUGAUCCCUUAUUUUAUUUCUCCUCCAUCACCAUAAGAAAGACGACAUCAUCAUUUUCCCACCAAACAUCAAUUCGAAAACAAAAGUCCAAGUGUGAAACCCCUAACAAAGCCUAGGUAGACAAAUAACCUCUUUCCUUCUUCUCAUUUCAACAUCGACAAAGUCAUUUCUUCCCUGCCUAUACUUCCUCUUUUGCUUUUACGUUGAAAAAGAGAAAGAAAGCAAUUGAGAGAAAGAGGGAACAAAGCAAUGAAAUAUUGUAGUUGCAUUUAACUUAUAAAGUAAGGGUUUUUCCAGAUAAUAUAUGUAUUUUAUUAAAUUUUAUAAUAACUAUUUAUUUUGAUUUGUCAUUUUGAUUCUUUGAGAUUUGAAUAUUGUUAUAGUUAUGUGAUUUUUGGAAUGUUGUGAUUUAAACUUGAUUACAUUGCAUAUUUGUACAUGUUGAAUGUUCAUUAAUAUUAUUCAAUUUUAUAUUUUAAUUUAUUUAGGGUUUAUUUGAAAUGAAAUAUGGUUUAAAAUUUGAUAAAUGAUAAGAAAAUGAAAUGGUGGUAAACUAUAUUGAUUUUGUUUUAUUUUCUGAAUUGUUGUGUUUGUGUUGUAUAUGGUUGUUGGGAAGAAUAUAGAAAAGAGAAGAAAAAUAUGACUAUUGAAUGAGAAGGGAAUACAAUUUUUAUAUGGGAUUCAAGAUGUUUUGUUGUUUAAUGUUGUUUAUAUGGGAUUCUAAAAUGAGUAGGUUGAGUUUUUUUAUAUAGUUGUUAAUUGGUGAAUUUAAUGCAUAGGAAAAGAAUUCAUGUUUAGUCAUGAGUAGAUGAGUACGAAUUUUAAAAAUGAUUGGGAGUAAAGUUUGAAUAAAUUUCUUCAUAAAAGUUUUGAAUUUGUAAUGAAUGAGGGUUGAAUUGAAAAAGAAAAUAAAACAAAUGUAGUAAAGCAGACAUGAAUUUAUGUUGGAAUUAGGGAAAAUAGUAGUGGAGCCUUAGGUGGAAAUCUGAUGCUCACAACCACAAAUAUGAAAUUUGUUUUGUUUAUAUGUGUGUAAUGGUCAUAAUAGGGGUCUACCCUUGGAUGAAGGUGUUGAUCGUAAUUCAGGUAAUGACAUUUGGAUGAAAUAAUUGUUUUUGUAAGAGGUUGCAGUAAGUAAUUAGAGGUUAACCCAUUUGUUUGGAGGUAGGCCCUUAGUUGUAAACAUUGUUGUGGUCUAAUCUAGGGAGUAGACAAAAUAAAGAAAGACCUAUUGUUUCAGGGGUUGGCCCGAAGACAGGGCCAUUAGCACAAUUUAGCUUGAAAAGUUACAAAAACAAUGGUUGGGCCAUGAAUUGAGAGGUUCACUUCCCAACUUAUAUAACAUAACAAAUUACUACCAAAUAAAAUAGAAUAAUUGCAUUGUUUAAUGUUAAGUAUACUCUAUGCAAGUCCAUAUUUACAACAUUAAUUGAAGACCAUGAAAUGUAAAUGAAGCUCACUUGUAAAGUUCCAAAGAUAAAUGAUGUAUGAAUAUAUGAUGGUCAUAAGCAUGAUAAUCAGUUUUGUUAUAAGUAAUUUGGUUUAGGCAGUGUUAUUAAAAAAUUAGUUAAUUGUUUCAACUUGACUAAAGGUUCAUGUUUCUAAACAGGGGCUACACAUGAUCGAGUAUCAUUUAAAUGGAUCCAAGUAAUACAAUUUACUAUUAUCUGUAGAUUGGAAGAGAGCUAGUAAGGGGUGAACAUGGCAGUGUGGAAUAUAUGGGUGGGAGACGAGAGAGUAUAAUGUUAGAACGAUCAAUGACAUAUAAUGAUUCAAGGAUUUGUGGGAAAAUGAGCAUCGAUAUAGUGGGACCAACAUUUUCGUACACUCUCCCAUUUGAUCUAUAUGCACUUCAACCAUUGAAAAAUGAUGAAGACUUGACAAACAUGUUUCAGUUUAGUGACCAAUCCACACGUGUAUAUAUGUUUAGCAUCAACAGUUGAAGGUGAUGAAACAGUUGAGAAUGGAGGACAAAGGUAAGUUAUAUCAAAAGAAUAUCUAAUCUUAAAUGAUUUCGUGUAUUUAUUUAUUUAUUAAUAUUUAUGCUUAUUCAUUAGAUGAUAAGUUGAUAAAUAAACAUAUUUAUAAUGCAGAUUGAACGAAACAAUGGUAGGGUCAAACUCACUGGUCCCAUAUUCAAUAAGGGAUGUUGAUAUUAAUUAGAAUGCAAUCACGAGGGUUUCAUCAAAGAUGUGUUGAAUCACAUGUGGGUACACUAGAGUCGAGUCAUUUUGAGAGUGCAAUAUUGGGUAGUGGGCAUACCUUCUCAAUUGCAAAUGACUUUUGAGAUGCAAUAUAUCUCAUGUCAAUAGGAAACCAUUUUAGAUAUAAGUUUAGGAGGAAUUGUCUUAAGCAUAUGACUGUAAUAUGUGUUGUUGAAGGAUGCCCUUGGAAAGUAACUACUCGUGUUGUUGGGAGAACAAAAAUAGUUCAGGUGCAUACAUUUAUAAGUGAACAUAACCACUCUUUAGAAGAUGUGUCAGUUUUUGAACCAAUAGUUCGUUGUAAUCGAGACACAACUAUGAUUGAUGAUGUUAUUCAUUCAAAUCCAAAUUACUUGUCUCAUCAAAUAUGUAAAGACUUUCAUCGACAAUACAGAAUGCAAUUGAAUUAUUGUCAAGCAUGGAACUUGAAAGAGAAGGCUAAAGAACGAAUCAAUGGCGUGCCCCAAUGCUCAUAUAAGUUGUUGCCUUGAUUGUGUACAAGGCUUAUUGAAACAAAUCCAGGGACGAUUUUUUAAUAUAGAUGUUCGGGUGAUGGUCAUUUCAUCCAAUUGUUUGUUGCCCUUUCAAUGUCAAUACAUGGGUUUAAAACAGGGUGUCGGCCUAUUAUAUCAACAGAUUCAUCCCACAUGAGUGAGCCAUACAAGGGUGCUUUAUUUUUAGCUUCUUUGUAUGAUGCUAAUAAUGUCAUGUUUCCACUUGCUUAUUGCUUAUUUAGCUCCAAGAAUUACAAGGAUUGGCUUUGGUUCUUAGAAAAAUUGAAGAUGGUCAUAGGUAAAAGAGAGGUUAUAAUAAUAUCUAAUAGGGACCAAGGAAUUAUCAGUAGUGUUUCAGAGGUAUUCGACAAUGAAAAUCUUGCACAUUGCUAUCAUCACAUUAAAGAAAACUUAAGUAGCUUACUAACAAAGUUGAACAUUAAAUGGAGGAAAAUAAAGGAAAAUGUUUUGCAAAUGCUCGAUUCUAUCGCCUAUGCUAGGUUAGAUUGUGAUUAUUAGGUUACAAUGGAUACUUUAAGGACAUUUAAUCAUGAUUCGGCAAAGUGGGUUGAAAAAAAUAACCCUCAACAUUGGGCAAUCUCUAAAUUUAAGAAGAUGCAUUGGGAUAAGAUGACAAACAAUCUAGCUGAGUCUUUCAAUUCUUAGUUAAGACAUGAAUGACACCAUAACAUUUGUGUUUUCUUCAUUGAGCAUAUGGAUAAGUUAGGAUCUCUUUUAGUCAAGCACAAAAAUGGACUUGUAAAAUGGAAUGGGUACAUUAGUCCUAAAACAUAAGAAAAUAUUGCAUUGAACAUUGCAAAAGGUGAAAAUUAUAUCACUUAUUUACACUUGGGUAGUUCGAUGAAAGUAUCCAAUGGAAAAGCAUUCUUAGAAGUGGACUUAAUGGAGCGAACUUUCACAUACAAAGCAUGGCAAAUGUCUGGAAUUCCAUGUGAUCACACCUGUGCAGCUAUACGGCGAAUGGGUUUGAUGUAUCUGAUUAUGUUGAUGACUAGUAUAGGUACAAUUUGCAAGAUAAUAUAUACUUUGGAAGCAUGCGUACUUUAGUAAUGCAUAAGAUGCCAAUGAUUGAUGAAGAUGGAACCGUUCGUGAUGCCUUGGGUCAUACUUAUCCCUUUCUUAAUCUUCAAACCACAAAGCAACCUCCUAGAAAACCUAAGAAACAUCAAAUCGAGUCUCAAUUCAUGUAAAAAGAAAAAAAAAACGGUUCAUUGUUCUCGUUGUAAUGAGCUUGGGCAUAAUCGUGCGACAUGCACCAACCCAUUGUCAUAACUAUUUAAUUAAACUUCAUAAUGUAACAUCGACUUUAUAUUAGUGUGUAAUAAUUUGGUAAUCUUCGUUGUUGUUUCUCAUAUUAUAAGCAAUGACUAAUUUAUUGGAUUUGUAGUGUUCGGUGUACACAUAUUGUGAUUGUAUGUUGUUCUUCAAUAUUAUGGGAUCUGUUACAUGAUAAUAUAAUUGUAAUAACAAAAUGUGUACCUUGGUGAUGAUUGUUCGAAGAUGCCAUUAAAGUCACAUAGAUUCACAUGGUGUUCUUGGCAAAAAAACAGAUUGUUAACUAGUGGGCAUAAUCGUGGUCAACCUUUUUUCACAUGUAUGGGUUGUCGCUUUUUGGUUGAUGACCCUUAAUCAUAUUAUUUAGUUUUGUGUGAAGUGGUCAGUAGCCAACCCUUAGAUCAUAGGCAGUCCUAUCAUUUUUCUUAUUUAAAAUUGGCUUUGUGUUAUGUGAGGAGUCGGUAAAAAGGAGGUUGACUCAUUGACACCAUGGGAAGGCAUUCGAACGUUUACACUAUACACUUAGAAUUAAUGGACUUUUAUACCAUAACAUUAGUUUGGUAUGUUAUGUGCAGAAGUCAAUCUAGGGGCGCACCCUCCAUUUCAGAGGCAUGCCUAUAUGUGAAUGACAUUAUAUUACCCUACUAUAUGCAGAAGGCAAAGUAGGGGUGCACCCUUUGUUGCAUAGGCAUGGGUAUGAUAACAUUAUUUUGGUAUGUUAUAUGCAGUACACAAACUAGAAGCACACCCUUGAAUUUAGAGGCAUGCCUAUUAGUGAAACCAUUAUAUUGGUAGGCUAUGUGCAGUAGUCAACCUAAUGGCACAACCUUCAUGGAAGACGCAUGAAUGUGGGUGAAAAACUUGAUUUUGUUAAGCUAUGUGCAGUAGGAAAAAGAUAGGAUGACUCUCUAUCGAAGGCAUGCCUUCAAGAUGACUAGAUUUGAGGUGUGGGUUGGACAAUAAGGCAAAUGGAGGCUUGUCGAUAGCUUGAAAGGUUGGCCCUUGACAUUCAUAUGAAAUCAACAACCACUAAAGGAAUAAAUGAACAAAAGUUAUGCAUUAUCAAAUGUUUGGUAGAGACCAUAUGUUCUAAUGUUUAGCACAAUAAUGUCAUACCAUCUAGUGUUAAUGAAGUUUAGUUGUAUUUUUUAAAAUCUAAAUAAGGCAUUAAUAAUAAUGACAAUAGGUGUGAAUGUGACAAUUGUUAUAGUUAAUUAAUUUUGGCAAGGUUAGUUACAAACACUGUUGUAAGCAAUUAAAUACCUAAUGGGGUCCAAAAAGGGGAUUAAAAUAAUUUAUGCUUAUUUUAUAAAUGAUGUAAGUCUUUUUGUAAGGAAUAUACGUAUUAUUGCACAUAUUAACGUACACACACACACACACAUAUAGAUGUAUUAAAGUAAGAGGGCAUGAGGUCUCGGAUUGAUGUUAAAAAAAUGUACAAUACUUUAUUAAAGUUAAUAAAGAACGGAUUGAUCUUAAAGAUAUAUUAAACAUUGUGAUGAUGUUACGAGGGUUUGAAACUCCGUUAAAUGGUGGUGAAUGACUUCCCAUCAGUUCUUAUGGGUUCUCGGUAGCAUGAGGCCUUGAAAUACCAAAUUUUCUUACAAAUGUACCAAAUUUUAUAAAAUAAAAUAAAAAAUGUACCAAAAGUUGUAAAUGAUGUAGCAAAAUUUGUCAAGGAUGUAUCAAGGGUUUAAAAGUUUGUUCAAGAGUAGUGAACAACCUUUCAUUAAUUAACACAGAUCCCUAAAUGAAAUAAUGGACCAUAGGUGAUAAGAUGGGUGUUUCAGUGGCAAUAAGAUUAGAUGUACCAAAUUUUAUAAGGGGUCUCGACAAUAAUAGGAACAGAUGUACCAAAUUUUAUGAAGAAUGUAUCAAAUUUUGUGAAUGAUGUACCAAGGGUUCCAACGUGCGUUCAGAUGUGGGGAUCAACCCCCAAGCACUUUCUUAUGGGUUCUCAAAUGAAAUUAUGGACCCUAGGUGAUAAGAUGGGGGUCCCAUAAGCAAUAGGAUGAGAUAUACCAAAUUUUAUAAAGGAUGUACCAAAUUUUGUGAAGAAUGUACAAAGGGUUCCAAAGUGCACUCAGAGGUGGGGAUCGACCCCUAAUCACAUCCUUAUGGAUUCCCAAAUGAAAUUAUGAACCAUCUAUGUCCAAAUAGGGGUCUUGAAAGCAAUAGGAUUGGAUGUACCAAAUUUUGUAAAGCAUGUACUAGAUUUUGUAAAAGAUGUACCAAGGGUUCCAAAGUGCAUUUCGAGGUGGGGAUCGACCACCAAUCACUUCUUUAUGGGUUCCCAAAUGAAAUUAUGGACCCUAUGUGAUAAGAUGGGGGUCCCGAAAGAAAUAGGAUGAGAUGUACCAAAUUUUACAAAGGAUGCACCAAAUUUUGUAAAAAAAUGUACCAAAUUUUGUGAAGAAUGUACAAAGGGUUUCAAAGUGCAUUCUGAGGAGGGGAUCAACCCCCAAUCAUUUUCUUAUGGGUUCCAAAAUGAAAUUAUGGACCAUAAGUUAUAAGAUGGGGGUCCCGACAACAAUAGGAUCGGAUGUACUAAAUUUUGUGAAGGAUGUACCAAAUUUUCCAAAGCAUGUUUUGAGGUGGGGAUCGGCCACGAAUUACUUCCUUAUGGGUUCCUAAAUGAAAUUAUGGAACCUAGGUGAUAAGAUGGGGGUCUCGAAAGCAAUAGAAUGGGAUGUACCAAAUUUUACAAAAGAUGUACCAAAUUUUAUGAAGGAUGUACCAAAGAUUCCAAGGUGCGUUCUUAGGUGGGGAUUGACCCCCAAUCACUUUCUUAUGGGUUCCAAAAUGAAAUUAUGGACCAUACGUGAUAAGAUGGGGGUCCCAACAACAAUAAGAUUGGAUGUACCUUAGAUUUUUUUAAACGUGUUCCUUAGUAACUUGAUGAAAGUUACGAACAUUUUUUUAACGUUAAUCCAAGACCUCAUGGCCUCUUACUUUAAUCUAUCUAUCCUUAUGAAAAAUUGACAUACAUCUAUUGUUUUACACACACACACAUAUAUUCCUUACAAAAGGACGUACUUCAUUUAUAAAAUAAGCAUAAAUUAUUUUAAUCCCUUAUGUCGACCUCGUUAGGUAUUUAAUUGCUUACAUAAAUAUUUGUAACUAACCCUACCAAAACUAAUUAACCUAUAACAAUAGUCUUAUUCACACCUAUAGCCAUCAGAUAUUAAUGCCUCGUGUAAAUUAUGAACAAUUCAACUCAACUUCAAUAACACUUGAUGCUAUGACAUUAAUGUGCUAAACAUUGGAACAUAUGGUCUCUACCAAACAUCAGAUAAUGCAUUACUUUUAUUUAUGUAUACGGUGGCCACUUAUUUGAUAUGAACAUAUGCGAACAUUUCUAGCUUUGGGCAUGCCUCCAUUUGUCUUACUGCCCAACCCACAUAUCAAAUCUAAUCACUUUAAAGGCAUGUCAUAGACAGAAGAGGCAUGCCUAUCUUUUCUACUACACAUAGCAUAACAAAUUUAAGUUUUCACCCACAUUCAUGCAUCUUGCAUGAAGAGUGCACCCCUGGUUUGACUAUUGCACAUAGUCUACCAAUAUAAUGCCUUCACUAAUAGGCAUACCUCUUAAAUAAAUGGUGCACCCCUAGUUUGCAUGUUGUAUAUAGCAUACUAAAAUAAUGUUAUCAUACCCAUGGCAUGCCUUUGCAACAAAGGGUGUGCCCCUAGUUUGCCUUCUGCAUAUAGCAUACCAGUAUAAUGCCUUCGCACAUAGGCAUGCCUCUGAAAUGAAGGGUGUGCCCUUAUAUUGACUUCUAAAUAUACCAUACUAAACUAAUGUUAUUAUUAUUUUUAAAACAAAUUCCAUUGCUUCUAAGGGUACAAUGUCCACGUUCGAACGCCUUCCUAUUAAACAAUGGGUCAACCUUCCUUUUACCAACUGCCCACAUAACACAAAACCAAUUUUAAAUAAGAAAAACAAUGAGACUACUUAUGAACUAAAGGGUCGGCCCUUAAUUUUGCUAUUGACCACUUCAAACAAAACUAAUAAUAUGAUCAAGGGUUAUCAACCAAAAAAUGGAAACCCCUGCAUGUAUAGGUCAACCACUAUUAUGCCCACUGGUUAACAAUCUGUUUUUUUUUUUUUUUUUUUUUAUGAGAAACUCUUAGGUGAAGUUUUUUGCUUGAUUCCAACUAUUGUGCUAGUGCAUUUGCUUUAUAAAGAUCCUAAGUGUAGCAACCAGUGCUUUGUUGGUCACUUAUUUUAAGCUUUUCAAUUAGCUUACUCUUUUCCUUGAUAGUAGCCUUAUCGGUUUCAUGGACAUAGUUUGCCUCCACCUUUGCAGCUCAUUUACUUAAAAGCAUCCUAACAAUGAAACUCUUGUUGAAUCCUUCAACAUCAAUGGUUGUGAUAAUGGGCACUUGUAUAGAAAGGAAUCCAUUGUUUUGGAAGAAGGUGUGAGUUGCAUGAGUAAGUGCAUUCACAUAAUGAAUGCCACCUACAAGUUUUAAAGUAAAAAUUAAAACAAAAUGACCUAAUUAAUUUGUAGUCAAUGCAUUUAUCAUGGAUUUAGAUAAGAAGCUGCAUGGAACAAGAAGAUUAAUUACAGUCGUUGCUUAUGGCUAUGUCAUUGGCAGUUGAGAAGGUAUGCCCACUACCCAAUAUUGCACUCUCAAAAUGACUCGACUCUAGUGGACCAACAUAUGAUUCAACACAUCUUUGAUAAAAUUCUUGUGAUUGCAAUCUAAUAUCAUCAUCCUUUGUUAAAUAUGAGACUAUUGAGUUAGACCCAACAAUUGUUUCGUUCAAUUUGCAUUAUAAAUAUGUUUAUUUAUCAACUUAUCAUAUAAUGAAUGAACUUUUUUUUCCUCAAUGAUUUUCAAUUCUAAAGAGCUUCCAUUUUUAUUAUAUAAAAAAAAUUACUAAUUUAAAAUUUUUCUAAAAAUGAUCCAUUUCCAUAUUGAAAACAGUUUUUCGAUCAGGUUUCCCAAUCCCCUAACCAAACAUUUUUUCAGUGUCAUUUCCAUUUAUUUUCUUAAACAACCCUUUGCCAAACAGCCCUAUAAUUUUGGGUCCUAUAAGCCCAAAGCCCUACAAAUCAAAACCCACCAAGGUCACACUCUCCAAUACAAUUCCUCUUUUCACCAAGUGAAAAAUCAACCCAAUUCAAUACCCACCAUCUAGAUCAACCCAAUUAACACUUCAAAAACAUUAAAAAAAUCAAGCUAAACCCAAAAAACAAAACCCAAAAAAAUGCUCAUUAAUCACACCACAACCCAAACGAUCAAAUAAAACCCUCAUCAAAUCCUACACUAACUUUGCACCAAGAAAACAAAACCACACGAAACACAAAACCCUAGUACAAGAUCAACUAAUCCAAUCAAAUUCACAUCCAACAGUUCACAAACAUGGCCAAAAACUGAAAUUCACAAGCCAAAUAAUUGCGAGUCGAACCUGAAAAUCAAGAAUUGUACUUGUAACUUGACUUGUCUAAAAAUCCCAACUCCGAAGCCACCCAAGGUGCGCGGGAUAAGCAAAAUGGGUUCACAAGAUUACGGAGGUAGACCCCCUUUAGAUUGUUUAGGGUUUUGAUGGAUUGUGGCUAUGAACAAAGGAGAAAGAGUAUGGGUUUUUGGAGUUAGGGUUUGGUUUAAAAGAAAAGAAGGCAUUUGGGGGUAAAUCUCACUAUCCAUUUUGUUAUUUUUUGGCAAAUAUUUUAAAAAAAAAUCAUUCCACGUGGAUUUCUAGUUGGAUGGUGGCAUAGACAUGAGUCAUAUCAUUAGCUUAAGUGGGCAACUGACUUGGACCGUGCUCACAUGUCUUUUCCAAAUAGUUGAUCUAAUUGGAAGAGGUGUUAAAGUGUAGGAAGACAUUCUUGGAAGGAUCUCAGCAUCAUUAUUACAGCGCAUGGAAAAGUAUUUAUUUUCCCCAAAACCCACUAACCUUCAAAAGUAAAAAGUAAAAUUCUCAAAAAGCAAAUUUUUGCCCCUUGAUGUAUGGUUACAUAAAUUUCCUUUUAUUUCCUCCAUAACAUAUUAUAAUAGAUUGUACAUGUUUAUCUUAGCCAUGGUAGGCCAUUUAUGUUCAAUUAUUCAUUCUCAUUAUUUGGAAGGCAUAGGAUGGACUAUGCCAUAUGUUGGCAUCAAACAGAUGAUCAAAAAUAUGUUAUAUGCCAUACGUAGAGAAAAACACUCCAGACGACCAAAGUAGAAAGUGGAGAUAGUUUAUGACUGAUCCUCGCUCAAUUUGCACAUAACACCACCAGUUAACCAAACUUCAUCCUCCAUGCUUCAAGUAAUCCAUAACCAAGUUCUUCUCAGGAGACAUAGGUCUUCAAAUCUGAUGAUGGGAAAUAUCCACCUCCUCCUAAAGUGCAAGAUUUUACCAUGGUUUUAAAAACCAAAUCGGACUAGUCGGUCACGGUUCCAGUCCGGUCCAAUCAAUUGGGUCGAAAAGUGGUCGGACCAGAAUUGGACCAGUUAAACCAGUGGUCCGAUCGGGAACUGUCUGGUUCAAUUUUUUUUUCCACUGUCGUCGAUUCCCGUCGACGGGACCCCCACCCUCCUUGCAAAGCCAGUGUUGGAAAAGUUCUUAUUGCCAACUUGAACCACCCCCCCUCCCCCCCACCCCUUUCUUCCCCGUUGGAACCCUUUUUUACUUGUCGAAAUCCCUCCCACCCGGCACUAGAAACCCUACCCCCCAAAACCCUAUUGGAACCAUUUUUUGCCCACUCCUCUUAUCUCUUUUUCUAGAUUUUUUUUCUACCUCAUCUCACUGUUAUUAUAUAUAUAUAUAUAUAUAUUAUUUCAUGAUGUUUAAAACUUAUUGUUUUAAUUUUAAUUAAUGAAAACAUUACAAUUUUAAAUAAAUUCUUGAUUUUAAAAUAAGUUUUUCAUUUAAAAAUGAAUUUUAAACUUUUAAAAUUAAAAUUAAAAUUAUGAUUUUAAUUUAAAUUUCUAAUUUGAAACUAAUUUUCUGAUUUUCAAAUAAAAAUUUAAUUUUUAAAUAAUAUAUAUUAUUAUUUUUAUUUUUAUAAUUAUUUUAAAUUUUAAUAAUUUAUAAAUUAUAUAUUUAUGAAAUCACCGGUUCGAUCGUAGUUUGACCGCUGGUCUGAUCAAUGAACCUUAAACCAAUAACUUUUCCAGUUCAAUUACAGGUUCAGUUCUAAAAACAUUCAAUUUUACUGAGAAUCAUCCCUUUCUGGAGGCCGUCUCCACCACCUCAUCUAUGCCGACAUAGAAAUUCAAAUCAUGAAAAGUUGAAAGCCCCAUGAUAUGGGUUCCAACAUCCUCCCCCUAUAAAACUUGCACCCAUCCAUAAAAGCUUAUAUAUUCAAGCGGCACCUAUCUCCACAUCACCAUGAUGCUAAUGUUUACUCUUUUGCCCAUUUCCAGCCAAAAAGGAGAUAACCUAUAUAAGGAACCCCUCAUCAGCCACUCCUUAUGCUCUUCCAUAGCCCUCUCCCCGCAUGGUUUGAAGUAUUAGGCCAAGACUAGCCCCACUCAACCAAUUCUUAUUUGCCUUAACCAUGGUCAUGAUCAAUCCAAGAUCAAAUUUGAGAAUUCUACAAUUGAUAAUGACUAGGUUUCAAGUCCAAUAACAACUACUUAAUUCAGCCAACUCCAACUCCAACUCACUACUCUACUACUCAAAUUCAAUUAAUUACAAUUAUAAUGAAUGCCUAAAGAUGCCUUUAUUAGUGGUCCCAACAAUGUGUGUGUGCACCAUGUGCCCAGGAGGGGCAAAUGCCCCCCUGAAAUUUAGGAAUAUAUAUAUAUAUAUAUGUGUGUGUGUGUGUGUGUGGACCCCGCAUUUCGGCUCAUGUGUUUUCCACUCGAUGGCGAGCUCGAUUUUUAUUUAAAAAUGAUUUUAUUUAUUUAAAAAAAUGACUUGGAGUCGCCACUUAUUUUUGUUUUAUUUUUAAAAGGGUAAACAAAAUAAGAAAGAAAACACUAAGUGUGACUCCUUAUUUUGGAAAAGGUGGUCUGUGAAAAACCGGAUCGAGCUCGGGGGUCUGGUUACUUGUUGGGAAGGUACGGUAAAGACCGUAGCACCCCUCUAAGUCCCUAAAGUCGGGUCUCUACUAAUAAAAUGAAGCUGACGUGGCGAUCAAUAGGAAAAUCAACGGAUACUCAAAUCGACCAUGCACACAUGGGAAUCAAAACAUGCAUAGAGAAUGACCAGAAUAGAAAGGGAUGCAUACCUGGGCCACGAACGAGCAAUGUGUUAUCAUAAAAAUGGAGUCAGUGUAUAAUAAAGAGCACAAAACAUAUUACAUGCGUCACCAAAUAGAAAUUAAAAAACUGUUGAGGGAAAACUGGAUUUUUGAAAUUUAUUUGAAAUUUGGAGUUUUAGAGAUUAUUUGAAAAUUGGAUUUUUAGAAAUUAAAUAUAAGAAUAAGAAUUUUAGAAAUUAAAUUUGAAAGGAAUUGGAAUUUCAGAGAACUAAAUUUGAGAAUUGGAAUUAUGAAAAAUUAUUUAAAGACGGAAUUUUAAUAAACAAAUAAGUGGAUAAAUGAAUGAAUGGAAUAAUAAUAAUGAUGAAAUAAUAAAGAUUAGGUAAAUAAUUGUGAAAAAUAGAAUUUUAGAUAUUAGAGAUUGAAUUUAGAAAUUGAAAUUUUGAUAAAUUAUUUGGAGAUGAGAUUUUAAAUAUAUGAAUAAGUAAAUAAAUAAAUGAACGGGAUAAUAAUAAUAACGAAAAUAAUCAUUAAACAGCUGAAUGUGAAUAGUGGAAUUUUUUAGAUUGAAAAUUAAAUUUGGAAAAUAGAAUUUUGAAAAAUUGAACUUUAAUUAUUGAAAAUUUUAAAAUAAAUGAAUGGAAUAAUAAUAAUAAUAAUGAGAAUAAUAUUUAAACGAAUGAACGUGAAUAGUGGAAUCUUUGAGAUUGAAAAUUAAAUUCGGAAGUCAAAUUUUUCAAGAAUUGAACUUUAAUGAUUUGAAUUUUUAAAAUAAAUAAAUAAAUAAAUAUGGAAUGAUAAUAAUAAUAACAAAAAUAAUGUUUAAACGAAUGAAAGUGAAUAGUGGAAUUUUUUAGAUUGAAAAUUAAAUUCGGAAGUAAGAUUUUUGAAUAAUUAAACUUUAAUGAUUGAAAAUUUUAAAAUAAAUAAAUAUGGAAUAAUAAUAAUACUAACAAAAAUAAUGUUUAAACGAAUAAACGUGAAUAGUGGAAUUUUUUAGAUUGAAAAUUAAAUUCGGAAGUCAGAUUUUUUAAUAAUUGGACCUUAAUUAUUUGAAUUUUUAAAAGAAAUAAAUAAAUAAAUAUGGAAUGAUAAUAAUAAUAACAAAAAUAAUGUUUAAACGAAUGAACGUGAAUAGUAGAAUUUUUUAGAUUGAAAACUAAAUUCGGAAGUCAGAUUUUUGAAAAAUUGAACCUUAAUGAUUUGAAUUUUUAAAAGAAAUAAAUAAAUAUGGAAUGAUAAUAAUAAUAACAAAAAUAAUGUUUAAACGAAUGAACGUGAAUAGUGGAAUUUUUUUAGAUUGAAAAUUUGAAGAGUUAUUUAGAGAUGGGAUUUUAAAAAUAAGUAGAUAAAUAAAUAAACGAAAUAAUAAUGAUUAAAUAAAUAGAUGUGAAGAUUAGAAUUUUGGAAAUUAGAAUUUUAGAGAAUUGUUUAAAAAUGAAGGUUUAAAAAAAAAAAAAUUGGAGUUUUGAAAAUUAUUUGAAAAUUUGGAGUUUUAAAAAUUAAAUUUAGAAAUUUAAAUUUUGGGAAUUAAAUUUGAGAGAAAUUGGAGUUUUGAAAAUUAAUUUGAAAAAAAAAUAAAGUUUGGAAAUAAGAGUUUUGAAGAUUAAAUUGAGAAAAUGAAGUUUCGAAAAUUAAUUUUGAAAGAAUUCGGAAUUUUGGAAAUUAAAUUUAAAAAUUAAAAAUUUGGAAGAUUAAAUUUAGACAUCAAAAUGUGAAAGAAUUAGAAAAAAUGUGAGAUUGGUAGUAGGUUGGUAGUGUCGGUGGAGACAAUGGAAAUUAGAACAUGGAGUGCAAGAUAGUUUUUCAUAUGAUGGCUAGCUUUUAUGGGUUAAGAAAAUAAUAAUAGAUAAAUAAAUAAAAAAUAAAUAAAACAAUAAAGAAACACAUUUGACUAAUGAUGAGAACUGGGGAUGGAGGCUCGUAAUGGUGCCCUCAUUAAAUGCUGCUCCCAAAAUCAAAGACAAACUGGAGUUAGCCUUAAUGACAUUUCAUGAGAGAGAAAAGUUUCAUGCUCCCGCUGUGCAGACUCGCCGGUCAUGCUCCCGCUGUGCAGACUCGCCGGCAUCCCCUCAUCGCUGCAUAGCUCCGCCAAGCACUCCGGCAGAGAUCUUCUUGUCCCUCUUCAAAAAUACAUCAACGCGUUUUCCUUCUCCGAGAAUUGUGUUGACCAGCUUCUCCCGUCCAAAAAGGCGAAAAUCCUUGGCUUUGAUGGAAGACGGCGAGAAUGGCACCCGCGAGAUUAUCCAAAAAUGAUGCAUCCAUAUUCCUCAAGGAUGAAUCAAUUAAACACAACUUUCAUCUAGAGAGCUUCCUCCCAAUCCCGGAAAAAAAAAUCUCAUUCCCCUUUUUUUUAUUUUUUUAUUUUUUUAUUUUUCUCCUUGAUUUUCUCAUCUAGAUACUCCUUUCAGACAUCCCCUCCGUAAGACCUCUUCCCUUUCCUUUUUCUUCCAUCUCCAUUUCCUACUGUUUGGUUUGUCCAGGUGGGGUAGAAAAGAAAAGAAUUGGGAAUAUUUGUAGCAUAAAUAGGUAGCGGAAAUCCCAUCUUACAGUCACAUUAACUUGCUUCUCAAUAUUAAAACAUUGAAACCAAUAUUUUAUCUCAUGCACCAGUAUGUGAAAUAUCAGUUCUUGAACAAAUAAUAACAUAACAGAAUCAUGAGAAUACGUAUGGCAAGAGGAAAUAAAACAUGAAAAUUGAUUUCGAAAGCAUAGCAUUCACUAACCUGUUUGCUGUCAACCCCAAAAAUGGCUCCUCAUGGUAUUUUCUGCUGCUUCCCCCUCCUAGAGCCCAGGCACCCGCCGCCCCUCUCUUUUUUCUCUUAUUUUUGUCUUUCUCAGCAAGCUACUACCCGCCUUCCCGUUCACCAGUCAGCAGGCAUGUCGUCUUCAACCACCACCAUGGCCGUCCACGCCCCUUGCCGUGUCCAUGCAGCUGGUCUCCUUCCAGAAAGGGGUCCCCCCUCCUACUUAAAAAAAUGAAAAAAAAUUCCAUCCUUUUUGUCGUCCGUAAAAGAGGGUCUACAAUAUGAUACAUAUCAUUGACUAGAAGGCGUAGAAUGGGACAAAUUCAAGGGUAGGCGGUAAGGGUGGGGUGGAUUCUAUGGAGGCUUUUGCAGAUGUAUGUAAAACUACAAGACCUUAAAACCUGUAUAAUACUGAUCAAAGUAUCGAAGGGAAGCUUGUUUUGUGCCUAAGAAAAAGCAUGGCGUCCUCUCUGUCCUUUCCAGGUAACUCCUUCACCCAGUCAAAACCCUUUAUGCAAUCUAAAAGGUUUCAGUUGAUCAUAUACUGUCAACACAUGCAUGGGAUAUUCAAAUUAUUAUUUAUGCUAUGGUCUAGUUGUCCAUUUUUGGACAGAUAUGUUCAUAUACCGAGAGAAAGAAAGGGAAAUAAAAAUGAAGCCUGUUGAACAUCCUUCAUCCAAUUUUGUUAACUAACUCUUAAUUUAUAAAUUUUCAAUAUGUCCAUUUUCAAUAUUCAUCCAAUUUUUUCCACAAAUAAUUUUAAUUGAAAAUUAAAAAAAAUUAACUAACUCUUAAUUUAUAAAUUUUGUUAUCGAUUUAUUUUUUUACAAUAUUUAGUUUAUUUUAAUUUUUUUUUUCCUUCACCUCCUCGUUUAUCACUUUAUAUUACAAAAUAAAAUAAAUUCUAAUUUCUUUUUGUAGAAAUUUUUUAUUUUUUAAAAUUAUUCAAUAUUUUUCAAUUUUUAUAAAAGAAUUUAUCAUAUUAUAUAAUUGGAUAUUGUAAAAAAUUAAAACUUUUGUAUUGCAUUCGAUUUUUUUUUUUUUCCUUUUUUGGAAUGGGAGUUGACUGGUUGGUAAUCCACAUAACAAGCUUUUUUUUUCUUUAUAUUCACAACCUUAACAUGUGGCAAAAUGUCAUUGGUGGAGGAUUUGAGGUGUGGUACUGAAAAGCAUAUAUGGGUACCAAAGCAUAACCCAAAAAUGAAUAGACACAUUUGGCAGCCAUCGCGGGACUAAAACAAAAAAAUUACCUUACCCAAUAAAAUGGUACAUGUUUAAUAAUUUAUUUCAAUUUGGACCAUAAUUCUCAUUCGUACUAUAUAUUUGGAAUCAUCAAUUGUAGCAGCCUGGCUUCAUCUACAACCUAAACAGACAAUGCCUAAACAUGGUGAUGGUGUUACAAUGCAAAAUUCACCAAUCCUUCUUCAAACUUUUUUGAGUUUUCCCUAGACAAUGCUCUGAUGAAAAGCCCAAGAAAGCCCAAAGGAAAGGAACAGAAAGGCUCACCCUUCUCUCAAGUCUCAUCUGCUGGUCCCCACCCAAAAUAUGGCCCCAAACUGCUUUCCAAACAAAGGCUGAAAAUUCUCCCCUGCCUGCCUGAAAUCAAUCUCAAUAGAGUGGUUGAUAAAAGAAGUGGACAAAGGAGAAGUAUGCCCAUAUACUUUCCAAGCAAUAUCCAUAAUUAGACUGGUAAGAGAAUAAGACUGGACUCCAAUUCAAUUCAAUUCAAUUCACUUAUUUAGUUUUUUCAUAUAAAGAUUAAAUAAUUUAAAAAUAUGGAAAUUUUUUAUUAAUUUUAAUUAUAUUUUAUUUUUUUAUUAUUUUUCAUACUAAAAUCAAAUAUAGAAAAAUCAUUUUUCUUUACAUUUCUUUUGUUUUUUUAGUACUUCCCGAAAAUCAUAGUCUUAAUAUUAUGUGUAUAUUCUUACAUAAAGAGCUAGUUGUUUGAGAUAACUUAUUUUAAAAAAUUUCUAAGAGAUGAAGUCAAUAUCAAAAUUUUAAAGGGAUAAUCUUAUUAUUAUAAAAUUUUUAUUAAAUACGAAUUUACUUCCAUGAAUAAAAAGAAAAAAAAAUUGUGAGAAGUAGCUUAAAUUUCUUUCUAUUAUUUUUGUUUUGUUAAGCUUUUUUAAUUUUAAAGUUACCAAUAAAUACAAUGUGUGAUGUACGCGUGAAAAUAAUAAAUAACUUAAUGUAUUUAGGCCACUUUUAAUAUAUGAAAUUCAAUAAUAGGAAUAGGAAUAGGAAAGUAAGUGUGAUUUAUUAUAUAAUAAGGUUAAAUCGUGCAUUAAUUACAAUUAUAAUGAAUGCCUAAAGAUGCCUUUAUCCCAACAGUGUGUGUGUGUGCAGGGGUGGAGCCACCUUGUGCCCAGAAGGGGCAAAUGCCCCCCUGAAAUUUAGGAAUAUAUAUAUAUUAUAUAUGAUACAUAUCAUUGACUUAAAGGUUACACUGAACAAAAAUAAGAAGUUUAGGAUAUCAAACACUAGCUACCCAUUUGGAAAAAAAAAUGACUGUUUCAAGUCCAUUUGGCAGCCAUUGCAGGACUAAAACAAAAAAAAUUACCUUACCCAAUAAAAUGGUAAUUUAUUUCAAUUUGGACCAUAAUUCUCAUUCCUACUAUAUAUUUAUUUAUAUUUGGAAUCAUCAGUUGUAGCAGCCUUGCUUCAUCUACAACCUAAACAUGGUGGUGGUGUUACAAUGCAAAAUUCACCAAUCCUUCUUCAAACUUUUUUGAGUUUUCCCUUGACAAUGCUGUGAUGAUAAGUCCAAGAAAGCCCAAUGAAAAGGAACAGAAAUGCUCACCCUUCUCUCAACUCUCAACUGCUGGUCCCCACCCAAAAUCUGGCCCUAAGCUCUUUCCAAACAAAGGCUGAAAAUUCUCCCCUGCCUGCCUGAAAUCAAUCUCAAAAGAUUGGUUGAUAAAAGAAGUGGACAAAGGAAAUCUAUGCCCAUACUUUCCAAGCAAUAUCCAUAAUUAGACUGGUAAGCGAAGAAGACUGGACGCCAAAAGGAUGCUGUGAGAUAUCUGGAAGAUCACCCAUGACAUUUUCAACGUACUGUGCAGUUGAAGGCCGAAAGAUAAACACAAAGCAUGAAACUUGGAAUAGCAGAAAUGGAAAGCAGCAUGUGCCUUAGCAGUGCAAUUUUGUCUCUGUGUUUGUCGUGUAUGUGGUUGGGAGUAGUGCCUUACAUUUCUGGUGCACAGACAGACACCAUCAAACCUCGGGAAGAGCUUCAAUU
rnacentral:lncRNA from 1 species